GCAGGGAAUAUGGGGUUUGUAUGGAAAUUUUCAUAAGCCCCCAUACGGUGGUCCAAAUCCUGUAUUUUUUAUCUAAAUCUUUAUUGAAUCAAAUACUGGGAUGUAUUGAUUUGAUGUUAUGGAGCUACUCUUUUAAAGGAAAAAAUAUGGUUGUUUUUGUACAGUAUUCCUUUGCCCAAGUGGGUUACAGGGGAGAUCGAGAAGGACCCAGACCUCGCAUACACUGAUCAAUGGGGAAGAAGGAACUACGAAUACCUUUCACUUGGUUGCGAUACCCUUCCUGUCUUGAAAGGCCGUACGCCUGUUCAGUGUUACGCUGAUUUCAUGCGUGCCUUUAGGGACAAUUUCAAACACCUCCUUGGUGAUACCAUUGUGGUAAUGCUUCUAAUUUACUAAUAAUUGUUGAUCCCAUUUUGUCUCAUCCUCUUGGAAGAAUUCAACUGCUAAGGAAUUACCAUUAUUUUUCACUACAGGAAAUCCAAGUCGGAAUGGGUCCGGCAGGUGAGCUUCGGUACCCUUCGUACCCGGAGGCGAAUGGGACAUGGAAGUUCCCUGGAAUUGGAGCCUUCCAAUGUUAUGAUAAGGUACCCUGACAUUGCACUGCUCUCUCUUGUUUCUAUUUCAGAUUAGGUUCUGUUUUGGUGUUAAUAAUACGGAUGUUAUUUGAUGCAGUAUAUGCUUAGCAGCCUAAAAGCAGCGGCUGAAGCGGCGGGUAAGCCAGAAUGGGGUAGCACUGGCCCAACUGAUGCUGGUCACUACAACAAUUGGCCAGAAGAUACGCCUUUUUUCAAGAAAGAAGGUGGUGGUUGGAAUACUCCAUAUGGUGAAUUCUUCCUUACCUGGUACUCUCAGAUGCUGUUAGAACACGGGGCGAGAAUUCUAUCGUCCGCAACAUCGAUUUUUGACGGUGCAGGUGUGAAGAUCUCUGUGAAAGUUGCGGGAAUCCACUGGCAUUACGGAACCCGAUCCCAUGCUCCUGAACUCACAGCUGGGUACUAUAACACAAGGUUCCGAGAUGGUUACCUCCCGAUCGCACAAAUGCUAGCACGUCAUGGUGCCGUUUUCAACUUCACUUGCAUAGAGAUGCGGGAUCAUGAGCAGCCCCAAGAUGCCUUGUGUGCACCUGAGAAGCUAGUGAAGCAAGUUGCUUUAGCAACAGGAGCAGCACAUGUUCCACUUGCCGGGGAGAAUGCACUUCCCCGUUAUGAUGAAUACGCCCACGAGCAGAUCUUACGAGCUUCAUCGUUGAAUGUCGAUGGCUCAGCAGUUGAUAGAGAGAUGUGUGCAUUUACGUACUUGAGGAUGAACCCAUCGCUCUUUCAUCCGGACAAUUGGAGACGGUUUGUUGCAUUCGUGAAGAAGAUGAAUGAGGGAAAAGGGGCUCGUCGGUGUUGGGAAGAGGUGGAGCGGGAAGCCGAACAAUUCGUGCAUGUCACGCAGCCUUUCAUUCAGGAGGCCGCCGUUGCCCUUAUGCAUUAGCGUAGCUUAGUAAAGAGUUUGUAUUAAUAACAGUUCCUCAAGGAUUCUGAAAUGAUAUAGUUUUUCCUUUCACAUUUUUUUCCUAUGCAGUGGCUAGGGAAAAAAUGCAUGUUGUAUAAUUUGGUAUUCGAUUUAGUUCCAACUCUUUCCAAUUUUAAGCAAGGAUGAUAUACAUUAGAUUAUUUAUUUGCCUUUUUUAAAAGAUAUUAGGAUUUGAAUUUUUUAAAGAAAGGGUUUUACGUUUAUAAAUAUGGUAAAAGUAUCACAAUGUUUAUAACGACUGUUAAAAUAUAUUUGUAUAUUUAAAUUUAGUCUUCAAUUUUUAUAUAUUUAUAUAAUUUGAUUUAUUCUUUUAUUGAAAGUAAAUUAAUUUGAUUUAUUCUUUUAUUGAAAGUAAAUUAAAAAAUUUCGAAUCUAGUUGCCUGGCUAGCAAAUUAAAAAAAAAAUUCUAAGCUCUCAUAAAUUUUUAAAAAAUUAUAAAUUAAUUGUUAAAAAUUUAGAAUUAAAUUUUUUUAUUAAAGCAUUAAAAAGUUUCUAAUUUUAAAAUUAUAAAAAUUUGGUGUGAACAUAUUAAAAGUUUCUUAUUAGUUUUAUAAUUUUAAAAUUAUAAAAUUUAUAUAAAAAAUUAAUUUUUGUAAUUUGUUUAUAAUUUUUAUGAUUUUUAAUAUUUUUAAAUUUUAAAAGUGUAAAUGAUUUUUUAAAAUUUGUUACUAAAGUCUUUUUGAUCCUUUAGUUUUGUUAGUUUAAAAAUUACUUCCAAUAAAAAAAAUAUGAGUCAAAUUGAAUACAUGUGUAAAAGUUAAUGAUUGAAUUUGUUAUUAUACCUUAUAUAUAAAUAUCAUAUUUUAAUAGAGAGGUGGCUUUGCUCACUCAUCUAACAUAAAACGGCCAAUUUGCACAUUUAUUUAGUAGAAAGGCUAAAAUGCAAUCCAAUGUAUAAUACAAGAGAUUUUGUGAUACUUUUAUCAUAUUUAUAAUAAAAUUGAUAAAUACAGAUACAUAUUCAAAUAACUAUAAAAUAGAAUCAAAUUAGUCAACAUCCUCUAAAUCUAAUGACAAAAACAUUUAUGUCGUGACAGGAGAGCUUAGGUUGAAUUACUAGCAACUCCAUUCUUACCCUCAAUUAUUAAAAAAAUAGAAUCAAAUUAUUUACAGAUGAAGAAUAAAAAUGGAUAUGGAGUGAAGGGUGAGUAUUUGUUCCACGUAAAAAUAUAUGGUACACUAUUUUUAGAAAAAGUAUAUAUAUGGUACACUAUUUUUAGAAAAAAUAUAUGAUAAUUUUUUAAAACUGCUUGUAAUAAAAAAAUAAUACACCACACCGUACUAAUACCUUUUUUUUAUUAAUUAAAAUAGUUGGAUUUGAUUGCUUUUUAGAAUGCAAAAUUACCGAAAGGAAGUGUGGAAUACUUUGGAGGAUAAAUUUUUGGAAAGAAAGUUUGAGAUCCGAGUUCAACAAAAGGAACUCUCUUUGAACUGUGACCAUAAGAGGUAUUGGAAAAUCAUGGUUUCAAACAAAAUUGGAGUGUCUAAAUAUCAGAUACUCUUAAGAGAGUUCUACAUUUUAUAUGAUGACAACAGAUUUGUUUCCCAUCAAACAUAUAUCCCAUUUCUUCCAUCUUUCAAUUACAAAAGAAAUUAAACCUCAAAUUUAAUCUCUUGUAAUAGGAGUUAGAUUAUAUUUUACUUAAUUAAUAUAUGUUUGAUCAAAGAACAAAUUAAUCAGACAGUGACACAAAUGGAUUAAUUUGUUCUUUAAUCUAAUGUAUAACGGUUAAUUUACUUAUGUUUUGAGUAAAAGAGACAAAAUAUAAUUUAACUCUUAAUACAAAUAUUUUCACGAUACUUUACCCAUUUUUUUUAUUUAACAAAUCAUGUUAUGUUCCCUCUUCUUUCACGUUUUAAUCCUCCAAAUUGGUAACACUAUUAUUGUAGAGAAAAUUUAUCCCUCAAAGAACCGACUUUUCUCAAAUCAUGAUCUUUUCUAUAGCAUUGGCAAGAGUUCUAGAGAGGUCUACAUUUUGGAGUCAGAUGGCCAUCUUUCAUGACUUCAAAAAGGAAAAUGAAAAACACUUUUUCCAUGGAUUAAAAAAAGGGUUUCACAUGAUUAACCAUUUGCUACUCCCCCCCCCCCCCUUUUUUUCUUAAUUUUGUGGACGGUAAUGUGAUAAAGUCACAUGAAUUAAAUGCUCAAGAGGUUGCCUUUUUCCUUCUUUUCUUCACCACUAUUUAGCACAUUUUUCAUCUCCACCUUCCUUAAUAUAUAUUUUAUUGAAGUUUUAAACAAAAUGUUAUUCUAAUAAAAAAAUAUUUUUACAUGAUGUGCUGGAAAAUUUUUUGUAAAAAAUUCUACAAUAGCUUUCAAAAUUAUCUAAUAAAUUUACGUUCAUUGGAAUGUUUUUUUAUUACAUGAUCACCAUAUAUUUAACAAAAAAAUUUAAAAUAUCACUCCAACAAAUUUAAUAAAUAAUUUUAUUGGUAUUAAGAAUUGGAAUUGAAUUGGUAAAUCUAAAAACUCGAGGGUUUUAACCCUCAAACACGAACACUAUUAAAAUGUCCUAAACCUUAAACUUUUAUCCCGCAAACCCUAAUGUGCCUCCUAAAAACUCUAAAAGAAAAACUUUAAACAGGUUCAGUAGAGAUAAUGAGAAAACACGUCUAGUUGAAAGUGUCUUGUUGACAGAAUAGAAAAGCACAUCUACCUGGCAACGUUUUCUUACAACUUACGUUAAAAACGCGUUCAGUUUAACACGUUUUCAAAAAUCGACAUAAUCCUACAAAAUUUUUAAAAAAAACCUACCUAAUCUCAUAAAUAUUUAAAAAAAUGACAUUUUUUUUAUUCAUAUUUGAUAUAUUGAUUGGAUUAGGAUAACUUAACUAUGUGACAAAAAUUAGGUUUUCAAGACAUAAAAGUAGUGGCUGAAAAGCAGAGGCAAUUCUAGGGGGGGCUGGCAUGGGCCCCGGUCCCCCUAAAAUGAAAAAUUAUCAUUUAGGCUCUCGAAAUUUUUUUAAAAAUUUAAAUUAGUAAAGGUAAAAUUGCACUUUGGCCCUCUAAAAUUAUAAAAAUUUGAUUUAAUCCUUUAAAAAUUAUAAAGAUAUAAACUAUAAAAAAUUAAAAUUUCAUUCGGCCCCCUAAAAAAUUGUUCUGACUUCGCCCUACUGAAAAGUAAUAAUGGCAAUGCAGUUUCCAAGAAGCCUCAUGGGAUAAUUUGAACUUUUAUUAUGUUGUCAUUGCACCAAGCGUUACUAACUUAUUAUGAUGGAAGAGUUUAUGGAUCAAAUUAAAUUAGGUGUAGACGAUGUAUUUCGUGUUACUUUUGGCUGUUCGUAAUUUUGUUGACAAUUAAAAUAUUAUUAAUUAAAGAGAUUUUGUUUCCAAAAUCUAUUUAAAAAAAUGCUUUUCCAAUAAAAAAUAAAAGUUUUGUUUUCUAGUAAAAAGCAUUUUUGAGCAUAUAGUUUACUUUCAUAUCUAUUAAAUAAUAAUGUAUUUACAUAUUUGCUAUAUUUAUAUUGUACAAAAUUUCAAGGCCAAUGAGAUUUGAAAAUUUGGAAGAAAUCAAGGAAUUUUAUUUAUCAAAUUAUGAGUUAUAAUCUUUAGAUAAAUCCUUUGAUUUUUUCUUUAAUGGAGAUUCGAUUUAAAGGUUGUCUUGAACUAAUCUUGGAUGAAUUCAAUCCUCUUUAAGAGUUUUCAAGACUUGAUCUUAGAAAUAAGUUUAGAGAGAGUUUGGAACGAAGAGUUUUCGAGAUUUGAUCUUGAAUGGUUGAGUCUGUUUCAAUGGUCAUCAAAGUUUGAUCUUGAAGAGAAAAUUUAUCUCCUUUGUGUUGAUGCCAAGGAACUAAGAGGAGGUUUAAUCUAAGGGUUAUUUAUACUUGAGCGUGGAUGGAUGAUUCCACUUCAACAGGAUCAAAGAGUAGCUUUCUUUAGAACUAAUGCAACAUUCUUUAUAAUUUCUUUGAGUUGUUUGAUUUCUUCAGAGAUUUAUGAGAGAACUUCUAGUUUUCAAAACCUUUUCGUCGGGCUUCGAUUUCUAAACUUUCAGAUUUAUGAACUUGUGAAGUUUUGUUGAAUGCGUGGAGGUGGCCCUCUUUUAUAGUAUUAGCUAGACAAGUAAAAGAUAGCUCUUAUAGAAUAUAAUCUCUUCAUUUGAGUGAUCUACAAGGCAUAAGCUAUUUUAUUUAUUAUUUAUAAAGAAAAUGAAUUCUCUAUAAAAGGAUUUAAAUGUUUUAUUUUAUCUCUUAAUUUAAUUAGAGGUAAAUCUUAUUGGUCCAAAACUUUUCCUUCUACAUAUAUAAAUUAUAUUUUAUUUUAAACAAAAUUUACUAUACAAUUAUGACAUAUUUAUAAAGUAUGGGAUUAUUAAUAUAGGGAAUAAAUAUUAAAAUUAUACAUGAAGUUUGAUCUAAUAUACAAUUAUAUUCAUGAAAUUUUGAUUGUGUUUCAAAUGUAUACACUAAACUUAGAUUUUGAUUCAAUUAUAUACAUUUAAAGAAAUAAAUACAUUAAUUUAUUUAGUAUAAUUAUUUGUGUAUACAUUAUGUAAAUGUAAAAUGUUGCUAUAUUGUCAAUAAUGUUGGUGGCUUGUGAAAAUUGCACAAAAUUAAACUUCAUGUAUAACAUUACAAAUUGGGUGAAAAUUCAUGUUCAAUUUUGAGAUUUAUCCCUUAAUACAAAAAUAAUGUUAGAAUGAAAUGAUUUUAAAGAGCAUAUUUAUAUAGGUUUAAUACUAUUAAGUUAUUCAAUUAUCAUUACAAAUAAUCUAAUAAUAUUAUUUCUAGCAUGAUGUCAUUUUGAGACAUUUUGUCUUCCCAUAAUAAUGUCAAACCCUAAAAAUCUCACAACACAUGUUAUAUACAUUUUCCCCUAAUUGAAUUUUUUAACAAAAAUAGUAAUACUAAUGGUAUCAAUAUCUUAUCUAAGCUUGAUUACUUUCAAUUUGAUGUUCAUGGCAGUCCAUUUCACUUUUGAUCUUCACAAACGAAUUUACUCGCCGGCUUCAAUUUCAUACAUCCAGUUUUCCAUCUUCAUUUGGAGUCCCAAAUCUCAUCUUUACCUUGCUUACCCAAAAUCUUCCAUCUUUGCCUUAGAUGGAAAAUAGUCAUAGUUGAUACGUCAUCAGAAAUCUGAUUUUCCAUGGCUACAGCUCCAUUUUUCACCGUAAUUUCGAAAACAUUAAUAAGAAAAUUGAAACAAAUAAUAAUAAUAAUAAUAAUAAUAAUAAUAAUAAUAAUCGUCAAUGGUUUUAAGUGGUGUACAACAUUUUCCCUUAAAAGGCUUUAAUAUAUUGUCCAAAUACAACAAAACUUUCAACCCUCCAAGUAGAAUAGUGAAAAUGACUAAUAGGAAGAUCUUUUAUAUAGAUAUAAAAUAGAUGUAUUUUUCCAUAAUAUUCCUUUCAUAAUGAUAUAUAUAUAUAUUUUAAUGAGAUACCCUUCCAUGAGGACAGGGAUGUAUCCAGGAUUUUACUCUAAGGGAGACGAAACUUCUAAAUUUAAACGACAUUUUAUUUUUAAUGUAAAAAAAGUGCCAAUUCUUCUUGGAUACUUGUUCUUCUCAUCAAAUAAAUCAAUUUAAUAUAUAUUUUUAAAAAGCAUGAAUGAUUUAACUGUAAAAAAAAUAAAAAAAAAACUCACACUAUAUAAAAUUAAGCAUUUCUUUCCAAUAUGCAAAAAAGAAUAACUAAUAUAUACCAUACAAAAAAUUUCAUAAAUAUCAUUAUAAUUCCAAAAAUUAAAUUAAGAAACUUGGCCUUAGUCCUAUUUCUCAAUACUAGGAAUCCUAAAUUGUACUCUUCGCUUUUUCAUAAGAUCAAACUCAUCAAUGAUAGAAUCUGUUGAAAAUUCUCGAGCUAUCUCUUUUUCGAUGUAUGCCACCAAGUAAGUUGAAAGAAAAUCAUCCUCCAUUCUGUUGCGAAGUCAUGUAUUCACAAUUUUCAUUGCUAAAAAUGUUCGUUCGAUUGUUGUAGCAAACACGGAAAGAGUUUGUCGAAACCACUUUUUGAAAAAAAAAAUUAGAGUAGACUUAAGGAAAUGAAAAUUGGAGUCGCCACCGAUCUUUUAUUAAGGUGUGACCGGAUCACCUUAAAAAUGAUUUUGGUCUAUGAAUUUCAGAAAGAAUGGAUUUGGGAGUCAGUUAUGUACGAGGAAGGAUUAGCACCCUCGUAACGUCCAAUAUUGGUACCGUAUUCACUAGUUAAUGUCUUAAAGUCGAAUGUCGAAAGUUUUAAAAGAUUAAAAAUGAUUCCCCUUUUAUUAAUGACAUAUUUUUUCAAAGAAAAAAAAACGUUUGGAUAAAUUUGAAUGAGUGUAAAAGACUUUCUUAUCUCGAGGAAACAAAAUGUCGUACCCCGUAAGUUAGGAUGCAACAUUUGAAUCCUCAAAAAUAAGCUAACCUUCAAAAACUUUAUUGAAAUUUAACGAUUUUGAAAAAUAAGAAAUGUUUAGCCUUUUUAGUUCGACGAGAAAAUCGAAACCCCGUAAGUUAGGGUACGAUCCCUCGAAGUUCCAAAGACAACAUGUAGUUUGCUUUUAACUUUAUUAAAGAAAACAUGUUUUUGAAAAUAAAAAAAGGUCAUUUUAAGUUAACAAGAUAAUCGAGACCCCGUAAGUUAGGGCACGAUUUCUCGAAACUUCGAAAAGUAUUAUAAAGCCGACUCAAAAUGUAUUUAAUUGAUUGGCUUGACAUAAAGAAAAAAAAAGUAAUAAUGAUCACAUACAUUGGAAUUUGGCUUACGAUACGAUAACGAGAAAUAAGAGCGUAAUUGUAUACAUGGCAUAAUAAUACAUAGCAAGAAUAUAAAUAACAUGUAAAUACAAAAUAACAAAUUAAGGUAUACAUAUAUAUAUUAGUCUAAAUAAAUAAUACAUAUGGAAUGAAAGACUCAAAAUAGAUAAUAAUAUAUAUUAUAAUAUGUGUAAAGAGUUGAAAUAAGUAAAAUAAAAAAAUAGAGAAUUUAAAAGAAAUAAAGUAUAUAUAUAUAUAUAUAUAUAUAGAAAAAUAGGUAAAAAUAUAUAAUUUGAAUUCAAUAGUAUAUUAUGUAUGUAUGUAUGUAUGUAUAUAUGUAUGUAUGUGUAAUGAAAAUAAUUUAAUAUAAAUUGUGUAUAUAUACAAAAGUAGUAUUGUAUAAGAAUAUUAUCAUAUAAUCUUUACAUAUGAAAUAUAUAAAAAAGUGGAUUUUAAAAAUAUAUUAUAAAAUAAAAAUUGUUAAAAAUAUAUAUUAUAUUGGAUUAAUAGGAAGAAAAUAAAAUAAUUCAUUAUAGAAUUAAAUAAUAAUGUAUGAUAAUAGUAUAUAUAAAAAAAGUUUAAAAUAAUAAUAAAUAAUAAAUUAAAUUAUUUUUCCAAAAUUCAAUUCACCAAGAAUAUAACUCCAUAAAUAUUUAAUAAAAAUAUUUAUGAUUUCAAUUUAUGAAAUCGGAGUCCCGAAAUCGAAUUUUUCCAACACCAUUGACUUUCGGAUCGUUACAUCAAAAUACAAGAAAGUCACUAACCUAAUAUGCAUGAGUAUGAGCAAAAUCAAUUAAUUGUAGAAUUUGGCUUUAAAGUCCAUAUUGAGCCUUUAAGUUUAGUCUUUUAAGGCCCAUCAUACAUUAUUAUUAUUAAAGUUAUAUAAUUAAAACUGAAAAAUACUUUAUUAAUAUAAAGUAUAAUCUUACGGCUUAAGGGGCGAAUUAUAUGAAAUAUAAUUUGGCCAAGGGGACGAAUGUUUUACAAUGUGGACACCAAAUCUAAAAUACAUGAUAAUUUAUAUAUAUAAUUCAAAAAUCUGAAAAUUCCAAGGGGGUGACUACCCCCCACGCCCCCUGGAUCCAUCAUUGCAUAAGGGCUUGUUGUUUCAAAAGAUAACUUUACUUAAAAGCUAUGUCCAAAUAACUUUAUUGAUAGUUUGUCUAGUGGGGUUGUGUAGGGGCGAAGCUAGAAAAUUUUUUAGAGGGGCUGAAAUUAAAUUGUAUAUUUGUAUGAUAAUACAAAUACAAAUUUACCAUUUUAAUAUCUUAUAUCUUAAUAAUUUUUAAAGGGUUAAAUCAAUUUUUAAUCAUUUCUGGGAGCUAAAGUGCAAUUUUACCAUUACAAAUUUAAAAUUUUAAGGGGCUUAAUUUUCCAUUUUAGGGGAGGUUGGGGCCUCUACCAGCCCCCUUGGAUUUGCCUCUGGGGCUAUGGAAAGAGAUAUGGGCACAACUGUAUGAAAAAGAUAAACACAAAAAAUGUUUACGCAACUCAGACUUAUGUAUAUGGGGCCUUGCUCAGAUAAUGUAAUGCCCCGAUUUAUUUAACUUUGUUUUUAUGAAUUUUGUCAUAAAUGAGUAUUUAUUUCAGUGGUUAAGUGAUUUGAGUGAGUACUUAAGGUCUUGGGUUUAAGUCCCACUUUUGGAAAAUAUGCUAUUUUUGAUCCUAGCCUUAUCUUUAGUGGUUUGCCUUAUAUUUUACUUCCGGGCAACUCAUAUUAGAAUGAGUUUGCUAGUUCAGGUGGUAAUGUGUUAGCCUGCCCUACGGUCUUGUGUUUGAACCCUUUGUGUGAGCAAAGAAUGUUAAUUUUUGCUUCUAUGAGUGUGUGCCAGUUGUGUAGUAAAAGUUGGAUGGAACUGAUACUCUAAACUAGUUGGAUGAGGUAGUGGGUUAGAUUCUGUGGGAUUGUGGUUGGUUAGUGGGGGAGUUGGGAUAGUGUUAAUUUUAUUUUAAUUUUGUUUUUUUCCAAAAUUCCUUUCCAGUUUCAUGUUCUUCACUCAACUCCCAUGUACAUUUCUUCUUCUUCUUCUUCUUCUUCUUGUCUCUCUUAUUUUUAUUGGAAUUAAUUCUGUAAAUAUGUAUGGUAGUUUUUGAGUAUAUCUCUUUUCUUUUAAUUAGGAGAUUAGAUGCUAAAGUUUAGGAGAUAAUAUUUUGGUUUAAUUAGGAGAUUAGAUGCUAAAGUUUAGGAGAUAAUAUUUUGGUUUCUAUAUUUGUAUUUUAUCAUGUAUAUAUGUUCUUGAUUUUGGGAGGAAUGAGAGACAGAGAAAAUUCCCACAAUUCUUGUUAUUUUUUCAUGGUAUCAGAGCAGGUUUUGAACGUGUAAAUUUUUGCUAAUGGCUGGUGGGAAAGGUGAUUCCGGUCACAAAUUCGGUGAAGGGGCGGUUGUGCGAAAAACGAUUUCUCCGUACAAUAUAACCUCGCUUGAUAAUCCUACACUUGCAAUCACUCAAGUACAAUUGAAAGGGGAAAACUAUGAAGAAUGGGCUCGUUCUUUCUGAACGGCGUUGCGUGCUAGGAAGAAGUUCAGAUUUAUUGACGGAUCGAUUAAAAAACCAGAUGAUACAUCAGACAACAUUGAAGAUUGGUGGACCAUUAACUCGUUGCUAGUUUCGUGGAUUCGGAAUACCAUUGAACCAACUCUUCGAUCCACCAUAUCUCAUGUCGAGGUGGCUAAGGAUUUGUGAGAUGAUAUCCGGAGAGAUUUUCAAUGGCCAAUGGUCCAAGAAUCCAACAACUCAGAUCUGAUCUUGUAGAAUGCAAGCAAAAAGGAUUGACUAUUGUAAAUUAUUUUGGAAAAUUGAAACUGAUAUGGGAUGAAUUGGCGAUUUUUGAUCAAUUGCCGACUUGUAAAUGCGGGAAUUGUACUUGUCAACUAUCAGCCGAGUUGGAAAAGCGAUGAGAAGAGGAAAAGUUCACCACUUCCUGAUGGGAUUGGAUGGGACAUAUAGCACGGUUAGAUCCAACAUCUUGGCCAACGAUCCAUUGCCAUCCUUGAGCAAGGCUUAUUCGAUGGUUAUUCAGGAAGAACGAGUGAAGACCAUAUCUCGUGAGAUGGAAGAUCGCCCCGAUGUGAUGGCUAUGGCGGUGCAAAGUCGAGGCAGUGGAGAAAGUAAUGAGAAGGGGGGUUUGUUCCCAUUGCAAACAACCCGGACAUGAUAUUGAUAAUUGUUUUACUAUUAUUGGGUAUCCUGAAUAGUGGGGAAUACAUAUAUAUAUUAGUCUAAAUAAAUAAUACAUAUGGAAUGAAAGACUCAAAAUAGAUAAUAAUAUAUAUUAUAAUAUGUGUAAAGAGUUGAAAUAAGUAAAAUAAAAAAAUAGAGAAUUUAAAAGAAGUAAAGUAUAUAUAUAUAUAUAUAUAUAUAUAUAUAUAUAUAUAGAAAAAUAGGUAAAAAUAUAUAUUUUGAAGUCAAUAGUAUAUUAUGUAUGUAUGUGUAAUGAAAAUAAUUUAAUAUAAAUUGUGUAUAUAUACAAAAGUAGUAUUGUAUAAGAAUAUUAUCAUAUAAUCUUUACAUAUGAAAUAUAUAAAAAAGUGGAUUUUAAAAAUAUGUUAUAAAAUAAAAGUUGUUAAAAAUAUAUACUAUAUUGGAUAAAUAGGAAGAAAAUAAAAUAAUUUAUUAUAAAAUUAAAUAAUAAUGUAUGAUAAUAGUAUAUAUAUAAAAAAAGUUUAAAAUAAUAAUAAAUAAUAAGGUAAUAUAUAUAUAUAUAUAUAUAUAUAAUAGGUAAAUAGAAGUAUAACCAAAUAUAAUAAUGUCAGCAACAAUAAUAAAUAGUAAUAAUAACAAUAAUAAUAAAAAAGUAAUAAAUUAAUUAAUAGCAAAAAUAUCAAACAUGACUAAAUUGAAACGAAAACAGAAAUUCUGGGGCAAAUAUGAAAUAAAUAAAAAUAAAAAGGACCAAAUUGAGUGCACGAAUAACAAAGAGGGACUAAACGGAAAACAUCCCCGCCCUCCUAAAACACAGCACCUUACAUGGAGCAAAAAUGAAAUCAAAGCAAAAUUUUAGGGCAAAAUUUGGAAUAAAAGAAAACUUAAUUGCAAAACCAUUAAAAGGUGGAAAGACCAGGGUUGUAAAUAACCCAUUUAACGAGAACAUGCGGAUCCCCCAUGGAGCAGGUCGGGUAGCACACGGGUGGCCCUAUACGGCGUCGUUUUGGCGCUAAGGGCACUAACUCAAAACGACGCCGUUUUUUAUUGUUAUUUAAACAAAAAAAACUGUUUUUAAAAAAACAUUUUCAGAAGCUAUUUUUUGUUUAAAAAAACAAAAGGGGGCUAUUCUUUGCUAGGGUUUCACAUCCCAACUAGCCCACCGUGCCUCCGCCGCGAUUCCACCGUGAACAGUGGCCGGAGCUGCACCACGAAGGGCCUUUCGCUCCUUUUCGCGCGGAUCCGAAGGCGUCCAAGGUAAACCCUCUUCUUCCCUUUUUAAUAUACAUUUUUUUAUUUAAAAAAAUCGAAACUAAAAGGAAAAAAAAUAGAAUACUACCUUCUAUCUCUCAAAAAAACUCAGAUUACCAGUAAAUCAUUUUUUUGAUUGAUCUUCUCCCUCCCUUUUUACAAUAUCAAGUCUGCUUUUUAUAGCAGAUAAUGGAAAAAGAUAAAUGUAAAAAAAAUCUAAUUUUAAAUGCGUUAUCUACUUGUUCCUUUGGUUUGUGAUUUUUCUGAUUUUCUUGAUGUUUUUUUCCUGCCUGUGCUGUUUGUUGCCAUUUUUGUUGUGCAUGUACAAGCUCGGAGGGGACGCAUGCGCGCGGAGGCGUAGCACGUGUGGGGCAGGAGCUGCGCCUGGAUCUUCUUGGGUUUCUGUUUCGUGGUCUAGGGCUAGGCAUUGGGCCUCUGUAAUUGGGCCACUGUUUAUUAGGUUAGGGAUUUAGAUUGGGUCUUGGUGUAUUUUGAAUUUGGGCUUGUAAUAGGAUUUGGGUUUAGGCUAGCAAUUUUAAUGUAAUUGGAUUGUAUUUGGACUUUGAAUUUUGGUUUUAUUUAUUUAUAUACGGGUCGGGCAAAUUGGGCCAAUUAUAGCUGCCCUUCUUUGCUCGUUGUCGUGUAACGGGAACGGAGCAAAGACUUUAGAUGGCCAAUUUUGCCGGGUCAUGCUGGAUCUUGGUGCUCUUCUUCUUCAAGUAGCCUCAUGCCCACCUAUUGCAUCUUCAGAGGUAUUGGUGCUUCGAUCCACUCCACUGUAACGUUAGGGAAAUAGGAUUUGUAGCUCUUCAAGGGAACAUUUGCUAUCUUCAGUCUGCUUCACUGCAACUUCAGGGAGAUAAGACUUGCAACUUCCACUUGUUUCACUGUAAUUUCAAGGCAAUAAGGUCUGAUUCGAUCUGCUUUACUGCAACUUUAGACAGAUAAGAUCUGUAAUUUAUAGCUUCAACCUGUUCCACUGUAACUUCAGGGGAAUAAGAUUCACUAUCUUUAGUCUGCUCCACUGCAACUUUAGGGAGAUAAGACUUCACUUCAAUCUGCUCCACUGCAACUUCAGGGAGAUAAAACUUGCUAUGGCAGAUUUAAUUCGACCUACAGCAACUUCAGAGGCAUAGGAUUCAUCAUUUUAAUCCGCUCCACUGCAACUUCAGGGAGAUAGGAUUUGUAACUUUAAUCUGCUCCACUGCAACUUUAGGGAGAUAAGAUUCACUAUCUUCAAUCUACUCCACUGCAACUUCAGGGAGAUAAGACUUGUAACUUCAAUCCGCUCCACUGCAACUUCAGGGAGAUAGGAUUAUUGGCUUUAAUCUACUCCACUGCAACUUCAGAGAGAUAAGAUUCGCCAGGAUCUACUCUACUGCAACUUUAGAGAGAUAAGAUUCGCCAGGAUCUACUCUACUGCAACUUCAGAGAGAUAAGAUCUGUGAUUUAUAGCUUUAAUCUGUUCCACCACAACUUUAGGGAAAUAAGAUUUGCUAUCUUCAGUCUACUCCACUGCAACUUCAGGGAGAUAAGACUUCAUUUCGAUCCGCUCAUUGCAACUUCAGGGAGAUAGUAUUAUUGGCUUUAAUCUACUCUACUACAACUUCAGGGAGAUAAGAUUUGUCAUCUUCUUCAAUCUAUUCCACUGCCACUUCAGUGGUAUAGGAUUUGUAGUUUCACCGAUCUGUUUUCAGGGGAACAUGACCUGUAGAAUCCAUUGCAUGGACCUAUUUAUGCCUAAUUAUUAGGAUGUUAUGAUCGGAAUGAGUCAAAAUUUACUAACUAGAUGUUAUGAAUAAAUGGAAAAUGAAGAUGAUCCCUUUUUUUAAUGUUUGGGUUAUCAUUACUUAUUAUUCGUUAAGAUUUCAUCACUGAUGUGUUAUAGAGUUGUCUUGUUCAGCUGGUGCCUUCGACAGAAACCCAAAGAAAAACUCAAUCAGUUUGCCUCAAUUGUUCUUUUGAGACUUGAGUUUUGGGCUAUCCUUCUUCCACUAUAACCCAGGGAUACAAGAUCUGACUCUUUUCAAACCUCUUUUAUCGCAAUUCAAAGGCAUAGUAUAAGAAUCUUCUUCCCUCAUUUUAGUCAUUUACACCAUUCCUAGGAUGUCGUGACCAGGUAUUUAUGCACGAGUAUAGAAAUUUUUCUAAGAAUAACUUCUUCUUAUUGUUUGGCGAUCGAAGCUUUAUCACCGGCACAAUAUUUUGUUUAAUAAAUAUUUUUGACAACAAAAUUCGAAGAGAUAGUCUUAAUUUAGACUUUUUCUUUUUAGAUAUUUCAACUUUUAAACUUGGUGCAUUCUAAAUAAUAGUCCUAUUUCAACUUCCUGUAUUAUUUAGAAACUUCUUAGAGUAAUAUGCAAAACUUCAUUUGAGAAAGUAUUAUUAGUCCAUUAAUCAUUAUUCUAAUGCAACACACUUGCAAAAGAUCAUAUCAAUGGAUAAAAAUUGAAUUGAUUUGGGAGCAUGGCUCGAAAUGAAUAAAUUGUCAAGGAUAGUAAAAAUAAAAAAAAGGGAAUUAAGUGGGAACAUGUAUCUUGAAAAAGAAUGAAGUAUUCCAAGAACAACAAAUUCAAUAUAAAUAGUAUGAAGACUAGGUGCCCCAAAUAUCGCAGCUUGAACUUCUCUGCACAACUUUCUAAAGACCAUUCUGAGUUUGACAUGUGUUUAGGAGAUCUAAGUACUUUGUCAAUGCUCCAAGAUAUCGCCUACCUUUUCCUAUUGAUUCAAGUAUAGCAAGAUCACCACAUGCGCCAAUUUGAUCAAAAUUUGAGCUGCUCUGAUCACCUCAUGUCCCAUUCUGAUCAAAAUUUGAGUCACCUUUUUUGGGUUUUCAACUCAAAUCCCCUUUGGUCUCAAGGUGCCUUUUGCAGGUUUUCACAUUGGCCUCUCAUUUUUUUAAAGAACUCAAGGCACCCUUUGCGAGUUUUCACUUUAAUCCAUUUUCUUUCUUCAGGUGAAGUAUUUCUUAAAUGAGUCCGAGUUUACAGGAUUUGGCAAGUUUUUACCAUCCAUCUCGCUCAAAAUCAAAGCUCCUCCAGAAAAGACCUUCUUUACAACAUAAGGUCCUUCAAAAUUUGGAGCCCACUUCCCUCUAAAAUCCUUUUGUAGAGGAAGGAUCUUUUUCAACACCAAGUCCCCCUCGUGGAAUUCUCUGGGACGAACCUUUUUGUUAUAGGCUCGUAUCAUUUGUUUCUGGUACAUCUGAUCGUGAUGAAUAGCUUUUAGUCUUUUUCCUUCUAUCAGGUUCAACUGAUCAUAUCGAGAUUGUAUCCAUUCGACCUCAUCCAACUUUAGUUCAAUUAAUACCCGGAGAGAAGGGAUUUCAACUUCAAUGGGUAAAACUGCCUCCAUCCCUUAAACUAGAGAAAAAGGCGUUGCCUCGAUAGAAGUCCUGAUAGAUGUUUGAUAGGCAAGGAGAGCAAAUGGUAAUUUCUCAUGCCAGUCAUUACAAGUUUCAGCCAUUUUCCCCACAUUUUUCUUGAUAUUUUUGUUGGCCGCCUCUAUUGCACCAUUCAUUUUUGCGCGAUAUGGUGACGAAUUAUAGUGUCUGAUCUUGAAUUGACUGCAGACUUUCGCUAUUGUGCUGUUAUUCAAAUUCAGCGCAUUGUCAGAUAUGGUUCUUUCAGGCAUUCCAUAUCGACAUAUGAUCUCUUUUUUUAAGAACUUACUGAUUGCUGACUUCGUGACAUUAGUAUAUGAAGCCGCUUCUACCCAUUUAGUGAAAUAGUCAAUAACCACAAAGAUGAAACGGUGCCCAUUAGAAGCCUUCGGCGAUAUUGGCCCGAUGACAUCUAUACCUAACAUGGAGAAAGGCCAUGGAGAAGUCAUAACGUGAAGAUGUGAAGGAGGUGCGUGCAUUUUGUCCCCAUAAAUUUGGUAUUUAUGGCACUUCUUGACAUAAUUGAUGCAACCUCUUUCCAUGGUGGACCAGUAAUACCCGAAUCUCAUAAUCUGUCUAGCCAUGGUGAAUCUGUUGGCAUGUAUUCCGUACCCUCAUGGAUUUCUUCCAAAAUUUCCUUGAUCUCCACAGCGUCCACACAUCUCAAUAGUACUUGAUCCUUUCCCCCUUUUGUAUAAAAUCUCUCCAUCUAAGACAUAGUCAAUGGCUAGUCUCUUUAAUGUCCUCUUAUCAUUCUUCGUUGCCUGAUUAGGGUACUCGUAAUUCUUCACAUAUUGCAAUAUAUCUUGGUACCAAGGAUGGUUAUAAUUUUCCUCUUCCUCAAUAAUAUAACAAUGAGCCGGGGUUUCAUAAAUGCUGAUUUGAAUAGGCUUCAUGCCUUCUAGUUUGUUCAUUUUGAUCAUGGAGGCUAGGGUAGCCAGAGCAUCAGCCAUCUGAUUUGCUUAUCGUGGGAGAUAACAAAAAGUGAUACUGUCAAACUUUUCGAUCAACUCCAGAACCAAUCUCUGAUAACGGAUUAACUUUGGGUCUCUAGUUUCCUAUUCCCCUUUGACCUGGUAUAUUACCAAUGCCGAGUCCUCGUAUACCUCUAUUAUCUUAAUUUUUCACUCUAUGGCUGCCUGGAUGCCCAUGAUGCAAGCUUCAUAUUCAGCCAUGUUAUUAAUACAAUCAAAAUCCAAUUUACUAGUAAAAGGAUAAUGAUCUCCAUUUGGGGACACAAGGACUGCCCCAAUCCUAUUACCUACAAACUUUGAAGCUCCGUCGAAAUUUAACCUCCAAGGAUGAUUCUCUUGAGAAUCUUCUUCAGUAGUUGUCACACACAUCAAGUUUUCAUUUGGGAAAUCAAAAUCCAGAGGUUCAUAAUCUUCUAAAGCUCUGCUGGCCAAAAAGUCUACUAUCCCACUCCCUUUGACAGCCUUCUGAUUUACAUAUACUAUAUCAAACUCGGAGAGCAAAAUCUGCCAUCUAGCCAUCUUCCCAUUCAACACAGUUGAGUCUAUCAUAUACUUUAAAGGGUCUAACUUUGAAAUUAGCCAAGUCGUAUGGUAUAGCAUGUAUUGCCUCAAUCUCCGUGUUGUCCAGAUCAAGGCACAACAUAAUUUUUAAUAGGUGAAUAUCUCAUUUCACAAUCAGUGAAUUUCUUACUGAGAUAGUAUAUCACCUUUUCUUUCCUUUCAGUCUCAUCAUGCUGGCCCAACACACAUCCCAUGGAAUUAUCAAACACCGUUAAAUACAAAAUCACCGGCCCAUCCGAACUAGCUAGUGACAGCACUAGAGUAUUGGACAAGUAUUGUUUUAUCUUGUCAAAAGCUUUCUGGCAUUCUUCACCCCACACACCUGGAUUAUGUUUCUUCAAAAGACGAAAUACGGGGUUACAUUUCUCGUUCAGUUGUAAAAUGAACCGAGCAAUGUAAUUCAGUCUUCCUAAGAAACCUCGACCUUCUUUCUGAGUACGUGGUGGAGGCAAAUAUCGUGUCGCCUUGACUUUGUCUGGAUCGAUCUCGAUUCCUUUUUCACUGACUAUGAAGCCCAACAGCUUUCCUAACUUGGCUCCGAAAGUGCAUUUCGUUGGAUUAAGCUUGAGCUGGAACUUUCUCAGUCUUAAGAACAAUUUUCUCAAGACCUGCACAUGUUCCUCUUCUGUUCUGGAUUUUGCAAUCAUAUCAUCAACGUAAACCUCAAUUUCCUUGUGCAUCAUGUCAUAGAACAAGGCUACCAUGGCUCUUUGAUAUGUCGCUCUUGCAUUCUUUAAUCCGAAUGACAUCACCUUAUAGCAAAAUGUUCCCCAUAAGGUAAUGAACGUGGUCUUUCCCAUAUCUUCAGGAUGCAUCUUUAUCUGAUUAUAUCAGGAGAAACCAUCCAUAUAGGAAAACAGUGAAUGACCCGCCGUAUUAUCCACUAAAGUGUCAAUAUGAGGCAAUGAGAAGUUGUCAUUUGGGCUGGCCUUGUUCAAGUCUAUGUAAUCCACACAUAUUCAUACUUUCCUAUAUUUUUUAAGGACUGGGAUGAUGUUGGCUACCCAUUCAAAAUAUUUGACCUCUUGUAAAAAACCAGCAUCAAACUACUUUUUGACUUCCUCCUUUAUUUUAAGCACAAUAUCAGGACUCAUCCUUCUGAGCUUCUGCUAAACUGGCUUGCAAUCCUCUCUUAUAGGAAGGCGAUGCAUUACAAUGUCAGUGCUUAACCCGGGCAUAUCCUGGUAUGACCAUGCGAAGAAAUCUUUCAAUUCUUGGAGUAAUUCAACGAGGUAUCACCUUGUCUUUGUGGAAAUAUCAAUUCCAAUCUUCACCUCUUUUCUUUUUUCUAAGCUCACAAUUUCUAUUGAUUUCUUGUGAGGUAGGAUUUGUUUUUCUUCCUGUUCUACCAUCCUCAACAAGUCCGGAGAUAAAUCACAAUCUACGUCAUCUUCAAAGUCGUGCGAUCCCUCUAAAUACAUGUUUCGUUCAAAAGGAAAUUCAGAAUUUGUAGCAGCGUUACUCAUGUCAUCGAUAUUCAAGGACCUAUUGUAGUUACAAAAGAAUAUACAAAGAAUGUAUGAAUUUAUGAAUAAUUAUUUGUACAGUAUGAUUAUGAAUGAAAGAAUGAUUUAAAAGAAAAUCCAAAAAAAAUUAAAGAAUUAAAAAUAAUUUCUCGUAUGGAAAGAAUGAAAGAAUAUUUGCUCAGAAUGAUUGCAAAUAUGUACUUCAUUAAAAUAAUGAUGUUUCGACAUGAGCCCAUUUCACAAAAGAGUUCUUAUUGUCUCUAGGCUAAAACAAAAAGUGUGUUCUAAAUAUUACUUUAAGAAAGCUCUAAAAACAUCAGGUAUUUCUUCUACGGUCCAAUUAUUUAGAACACUCCCAGGCUCAUAAGGACGUAUAUCUAACAAGGUCCAUUCUUCAUUUGUGUCUUCAUGUAUGGCAUUGAUGUGAACAUUUUCCAACAUCUCUUUGAUGCUUUCUUCCAACAGUAUCCUUCUCUUAGGAUGAAUGAUGCCUCCAGAUACAAAGGUUUUGGAUAUGUGGGGAUUUAUCAUUGGUUCCUAUUUAAUUACCUCCCCAUUUAGGCGUGCCAUUCUUCUUUCUUGCCUUCUUUCUAACUCCUUCUUUCUUUGUCUUAUAUCUGGCUUGUAUCCUAAGCCAAAGCGAUCUUGUUUUUCUUUUAGCACUGGUGCCUCAAUUCUUCCUUGAAGAUGUCUCUCUAAUCCUCUUCCGGGUAAGGCUCCUUUCCCUACCAACAACUGUAACCCCAUCUCUGUGGUUUUGGAUAUUUUAGGCAUUGGAAUUUUGUUCCCCUUAGAAAUAAAUGUUGCAUUUACAAACUCUAAAGAUAGAAAGGACCAUUCAACUGCCUCAUCAUUAGUUUCCACGUACAGCGCAUAAUUGGCUACAGCCGCUAUGAUAUCCUCUUUGGCAUUUAUUGUCACCAACCGACCUUCUGACACUAGUUUCAACUUCUGAAGUAAUGAUGACGGUACAGCCCCCGCCGAAUGUAUCCAUGGUCUUCCUAAUAAGUAGGAAGGCUUGAUAUCCAUUACAAAGAAAUCCACCUCGUAGAUAGUCAGACCAAUUAAUAAGGGUAUUUCGAUUCUUCCCAUGACCUUCCUUUUUGUGCCAUCCAAUGCCCUCACUAUAUUCUGGCAUGUCUUCAUGUGCGAGCUAUCCACGGGCAGUCUGUUAAGUGUGGAUAGGGGCAAUACAUUCAAUGUUCAUCCGUUGUCGAUGAAAACUCUUAGCAAAGUAUACCCUUUGCAUCGGGUAGUAAUGUGCAAAGCUUUAGUAGACCCCAUACCCCCAGGUGGUAUUUCAUCAUCGUUGAAGAAAAUAAAGUUAUCUGCACUUAUAUUAUUGACCAGCCGAUCUAAUUUAUUGACAGAGAUAUCAUUGGCCACUUAGGUUUCAUUCAGCACUUUCAUCAAUGCACUUCGAUGCACCUCUGAGCUCAAGAGUAAGGCUAACACAGAUAUGCGAGCUAGUUGUUUAUGCAGCUGUUACACAACACUAUACUCGCUAUGCUUCAAGAAUUUAAGGAAUUCCUUGGCUUCUUCCUCUUUUACUAGCUCGUUGAUAGGUAACACAGGCUCGGUUGUUGUCCUCUUCUUUUGUUCUGUCACUAUGACCUUUCCUUUAAUAGGUUCUGUUUGAGGACUUAUCAAAUCAUAGUGUUUGCCACUACGCGUAUGAGAACCUAUACCCUGAUCCUCUUUUGCAGCAUUGGCUAAAGUCUCCCUUCCUAGGAUGGUUACGUUGCACUUAUAGUUCCACGAGACUUUCUUGCUAUCCUUGUAAGAGAAGGUUGCAGGUUUCUGAAUUAUGAUUUUUAGCAUUACCGGUACUCCCACUUCAUUAUUCUUUGGUCGCGAGAUGAUGACCAUAGGAUGAUUUACUUUCGGAACCUUUGUCAUUGAUUUCGACGCGCAUAUACUUCGUUCUUCAUUGACUUCUUCGUAGAACUCUACUUCCUUAUCAUCCAUCAUGCCUUGAACCAAGACUCUGAAUUCUAUGCACUCUUGGAUCUUGUGCCCUUCUCCGUGAUGGAACUAAUAAUAAUUUCUCGUCUUUUUGUAGCUCCCUUUUAAAUUCAAAAUGAUUAACCCCCUUUCUACCAUCUUCUUCCAGACCCAUAUCAAAUGAGUUCUUACUUCUGUAAUGUCUGCCUUAAUUCUUCUCCCCAUGUUUCCACUCAUCAUGUUUACCCCAUUAUCAGUAUGAUUAGGUAAUGGAUUUUUUGCACUGGAUGAAUUAUCAAAUUUGACAAUGCCCAUACUAAUGAGCUUUCAACCAGCGUUUUAAAGGCAGUGCAAUUUUCUAUGGAAUGCCCCAUAAUUCCCGUAUGAUAGUCGCAUUGUGCAUUUACAUCGUACCAUUUGGGGUACGGAGGUUGUAGAGGUUUUAAGUAGAAAGGGGAAACAACGUGUGCAUCGAAUAAACUUUAAUACAACUCCCUAUACGACAUUGGAAUUGGCGUGAACUCGAGCUUCUCAGUGUUUUUUCUUGUGUCGAAUUCUUGUCUUGAUGAACCUUGUUGGUUAGCAGCCACCUUUCUUACCUGAUUCACCGUAAUCGAUUUUAAGUAACCCUUUCUAUAUGUACUCAUAUUGUUCACAUUAUUUUCCUUUUUCUUCGAGGCCGACCUUCUGUUACUUUCUCCAGCAUCAAUCUUCCCACUCCUUAUGGCGUUUUCAAUCAUUGCACCAUUCAUGACUAUGUCAGAAAAACUUUUUGUGGCACUUCCUAACAUAUGUAUGAUAAAUGGGGCUUUCAGUGUGUUAAUAAAGAGUAUUGUCAUUUCUCUUUCCAGGAGCGAUGCUGAACUUAGAUGGCAACCUCCCUCUACCUUUGUGCGUAUUGCCUAAAACUUUCAUUCGACUUCUUUUCCAUAUUUUCUAGGGUGAUUCUAUCAGGAAGCAUAUCUGUUACGUGACUGUACUACUUCAUGAAUGCUUGUGCUAAAUCCCUCCAUGAACUAAUCCUGGUACGGCUCAAUUGAUUGUACCAUUUAGAUGCUACCCCUGUGAGGCUAUCUUGGAAGCAAUGUAUUAGCAGUUGGUCGUUAACAUAUCCAGUCAUCCGUCUACAAAACAUGGUAAUAUGAGCUUCAAGGCAACUGGUCCCAUUGUACUUCUCAAAUUCUAGCAUUUUGAAUUUGUAAGGGAGUACCAAAUCCGGGACCAAGCUCAGAUUUUUAGCAUCAAUCCCAUGGUAGCUCUCAGUGCUUUCCAUUGCCCUGAAUUUUUCUUCGAGCCAUUUACACCUUUCCUCUAGCUGUUUUUGCAAUUCCUCAUUUGUUUUUUCUUUUUCAUCCAUUUCAUCGAAUUUAAGGAUAGUAGGAUUAAUAGUGUUAUCUCCAGGGUUAGAGCCUGAUCCGCCUUGAAAGCUCAUUGGUGUUGAGGCACCGACCUGAAACUACUGAGGCCUGAUUGUGACAGAGGAUUUACGCGGGUACACCUCAGCUUGGGUCUGCACAUGUGGAGGAGUAAAGCCUGGGGGAUACAGAGGUCCCUCAUUGUUUCAUUCUUCAACAUUAGCCAUAGGGCCCUUUCCUUUAUUAUUUCCCCCAGCCAACAAUUGAGUCAACUGAGUCAUCAUGUUUCUUUGAGACUCCAACAUUUUGUCCAUCAUAUCUUGCUGAAUCUUAGCUAGCUGCUCUUGCAUUUGCAGCUGAAGUUGGUCUUGCAUUUCAUUUUGGAACAGUUCAAGUCUUUCCAAUCUUUGGUCCAUGUCUUUGGUUUUUGCUCGAGUACCGUAACGAUGUUUGUUUGGUUGGUUGGUUUCCAGAUUAACUGAGGAAUUAUUUUAAUCAAUUAGGAUCUUUUAAUAGUAUUUAAUGCAUAUGAUGCAAUGCAACGUAUGAAAUGAAUGCAAAAAAGGCGUCAAUUCUGAUUCAUUUCCAUUUAGAAAACUUUACUAGAAAAUAAAUUUCUUUACAUAAAAUGGGCUACAAAUAAGGUUUUGCCCUAAUACUUAGAACUCUAAUAUUCCUAAGUAACGAGGCUAACUCUUGCCCCUAAUCUGAUUCCAAUUCAUACUUCACACUCAGCAUAUCGGCCUGCACUGCCAAAGUCUACAGGUGAUCAGCUACCUCUCGAAUCUGAACCACGGCUUCUCCCAUAAUAUGAUCCCUGUUUCUAACUUGAUUCUAAAAGUAGUGAAGCUGCUCAUUAUGACGAUCUUCGUUUGCUUCCAAGUACUCGAUCCGGAUCUCACAAUUUUGCAAUGCCAUUUCUAACUCGUCUAUUCUUUUUUUCAUUUAUUCAAUCCUGCUCAAGCUCGCUCUCAACUCUAUUGUAGAAUUUCAAUUUCGAUACUGACGAAAAGAUCUUUCUAACUCGGUCACUCUGUCCUUUAGUUCACUUUUUUCCUUUUAGUUCUUUGACAAACUCUUCUCUAAAGCCUCAUUUCGUGUUUGAACCUCCUGGAAUUUCCUUUCCCAUCUAUCGACCUUGUUCUUUUCUUCUCGAAUCUCUUCAUGCCACUGCUCUAAAGUUUUCCCAAACCCGACAGUUCUCAUUUACAGGCGCAGUCUCUUAUAAUUUUUCUUCAAGCUAUCUAAAUCCUUCUCAGCUUUAUUUUUCCCUUUUCUUAAUUUUUCAAUCUCGAGUUUUUGAACAUCCAUGUCUAAUCUCAAGUUCAUUUUUUCUUCUUCCAUUUGUUCUAUCUUCUUUUCUAAUUUUGCAUUUCUUCUUUCAAAAUCUUGUCUUAUGAUUUCUAGCUCAGAAGAGACAACCCGCAAAUGUUGCUCUAAUGACUGACUGUUUCCCUAACUUGGCUUGGGGAUAUUAUCAGUGAUCCCCCUAACCCACCAUUCAUUCCACGAUUAAUCUCUUCAUCCGGCGAGUCUGGUUCCAUGCAUUGGACAUCUCUCAAAUCUUCUUUUUGUAACCAUCGCCCUUGUAUGGGAAUUCACACUAAACUAUUCCCUAGGUUGUGGGUAUAAAUUGCCUUGACCUAUACUGCCUGAUUACUAGCAGCGGGGCAUAACCAAUAGCUCCUCAAAUUCCAUGAAGAGGAACCCAAUCAAAAUCACAGCAUUGAUACAGGAUCUUAUCGAGAAGCAACCAAGGAGCUCUCCACUCGAUGUCCUCUUCCUGAAGAUUCUGAAGAAUUGCUACCCAUUUCUACUCCAAGAUGACAUCCCUUCUCGGUGUAGCUACUAUCUCUUUCAGUGGAAAAUAGUUUUCGGAGAAGACCCGAUACGAAACCUUAUCAACCUUCCAGAAGUGACUGUGGAACCAAGUGAUUAGGAGCUGCGUACAUCUGAUGAAUCUACCCUCCCCCGCUUUUCGGCAUAUAUUCAGUGACCUGAAGGUUUCUGCCAAAAUUAUCGGGACUAGUGUAACUCUCUUAUCAAGCCGGUUGAAUAAAUCAGUAACUGCUUCAUCAACGUGCCUAAAGGCUUUGGGGAAGACAACUAAGCCGUAUAUACUCAAAGCAAAGACAUCUACUCUCUUCUUCGUAUCUGGGUGUGCUAGAAUUAGAUCCUUCAAGCUCUUUCAGGGAAUGCACUUACUAUCCCCCUUCUUCUUGAUCCGAGUUGCAACCCACUGCUCGCUCAUCCCAGUUAUAUUCAUCAACUUCUUCAAAAAGGUUAGUACAUUUACAGCUCUCGAGUAGGCUCUGUCUGCUUGAAUCUUUGAACACCAAAGUAAAGCCAUAUAUUCUUCUAUUGUAAGCACCAAAUUGACCUUCCCAAAUGUGAAGCAACUGUAAGCAGGAUUCUAAAACUGGGCGAGAGCUCGAAACAGGUGCUUGUCUACCUUCAUAUCAAGCAGAAAGGAAAAUUCCCAUAAUUAGAGUAGAACAGCUGUCUAACCUCAUCGUUCCAUUGAUCUUAUAUUUCCUUCAACUCUUGCAAACUGUUUUGAGUUAUGCUAAUGCGAGUAAAGUCCCAUAGUUCCAAUGCAUACCCCUCAGCCAAACUAUCACCUUUCUCACGCUGUUUUGUUUCGGACCAAGUUCAGACAAUCGCAUUAUCCUCCGCUUUAUCAAGAAACCCUUUUCCAUGAUAAGCUUUCUAUCUAGCAACUGAAUAUGAACCAACGCCUUUUAUAAUGAAAUGCCAUGUAGUUGAAAUGCCAUGCAAUCAAAAUAAGACACAAAAAGUCAGUAUCAUGUAUAAACAUAGAAUCCAAUACAAUCAAGAAAUAACAAAACACUUAUUUGGGUAUCUAUUAGGGUCUGGUGUAGUUCUACCUAGGGUGAGUUCCUAAGGUUCACUAUGAAGUUUGGCUUCUAGGUCAAAGGUACCUGAACUAGCCGAUUCCUCAAUCCUCACCCAUUAUAGGCUCAUGCAGGCCGAGUUCGGUUCAGUGGAAUACAUUUCCCUAUGACUAUACGGAGAUGAAAAUCUCAUGAAGGCAUAGGUACAAAUGUAUCCCGAAAGUGAUCCACUAUCCUAUACGGAGGUGAGAACCUCACGAAGGAAUAGUUUUUCACUCCCACUUAAAAGGGUAAAAUCGUCAAUCUCAUAUAAUAUGCAAUGCAAAUACACUAACAGACCUAGACCAACCGAGCAAGAAAACAAUAAUGCAAAUGGGAUAUCAUGAAUUUUAAAACAAGUUUUGACUGUUCGACCAUAAGACAGAAAUUAAUCAAUUUGUGGCUCGACUCUUAAAACAGUCCUCAGUGGAGUCGCCAAGCUGUCGAAACCACUUUUUGAAAUGAUAAUAAAUUAUAUAAAAAUAUCAUGUAAUAAUAAAAAUAAUAAUAAAGUAAUGAAUUAAUUAAUAGCAAAAAUAUCAAACAAGACUAAAUUGAAACAAAAAUAGAAAUUCUGGGGCAAAUAUGAAAUAAAUAAAAAUAAAAAAGACCAAAUCGAGUGCACGAAUAACAAGGAGGGACUAAAGCAGAAAAUAUCCCCGCCCUGCCAAAAUGCAGCACCUUACAUGGAGCAAAAAUGAAAUCAAAGUAAAAUUUUAAGGCAAAAUUAGGAAUAAAAGAAAACUAAAUUGCAAAACCAUUAAAAGGUGGAAAGAACGAGGUUGUAAAUAACCCAUUUAACAAAAACACGUGGAUCCCAGUGGAGUAGGUCGGGUCGCGCACGGGUGGCCCUAUACGGCGUCGUUUUCGAUUGUUAUGUAAACCAAAAAAGCUGUUUUAAAAAAACAUUUUUAGAAGCUAUUUUUUGUUCAAAAAAAAUAGGGGCUCUUCUCUGCUAGGGUUUCACAUCCCAACUAGCCCACCGUGCCUCCACCGCGAUUCCACCGUGAACGGUGGUUGAAGUUGCACCACGAAUGGCCUUUCGCUCCUUUUCGCGUGAAUCCGAAGGCGUCUAAGGUAAACCCUCUUCUUCCCUUUUUAAUAUAUAUAUUUUAUUUAAAAAAACAAAUCGAAACUAAAAGGAAAAAAAGGGAAAAAAAUAGAAUACUACAUUCUAUCUCUCAAAAAAACUCAAAUUGCCAGUAAAUCAUUUUUUUGAUUGAUCUUCUCCCUCCCUUUUUAAAAUAUCAAGUCUGCUUUUUAUAGAAGAUAAUGGAAAAAGAAAAUUUUAAAAAAAAUCUAAUUUUAAAUGCGUUAUCUGCUUGUUGCCUUUGGUUUGCAAUUUUUCUGAUUUUCUUGCUUUUUUUCCUGCCCGUGCUAUUUGUUGCCAUUUUUGUUGUGCAGGUACAAGCUCGGAGAGGACGCACGAGCGCAGAGGCGCAACACGUGCGGCACCUGGAUCUUCUAGGGUUUCUAUUUCGUGGUCUAGGGCUAGGCAUUGGGCCUCUGUAAUUGGGCCACUGUUUCUUGGGUUAGAGAUUUAGAUUGGGUCUUAGUGUAUUUUGCAUUUGGGCUUGUAAUAGGAUUUGGGUUUUGGCUAGCAAUUUUAAUGUAAUUGGACUGUAUUUGGACUUUGAAUUUUGGUUUUAUUUAUUUAUAUACGGGUCAGGCAAAUUGGGCCAAUUACAGAGUAAACACAAGAUGAAUAAUUCCAUCUUGAAAAGAAUAAAUACUUGACUUUUUUGUCUUAGCUAGCACUUGACACGACUCGACAACUGUAGAAGCUUUCUGCAACUUCGUGCUUUAAUGAGCAUCAAGUUGAAAAUGCUCCAAUUAAAUCUUCAUGUGUAGCUUUUCUUGCUCCGUAAAAUCGUCCAAAUAAAAUUCAUUCAUAAGCUUGUAGAUAUCUUCCGCCCAAAAAGCUUUGUAAUUAUCGCGUGGAUCCAAAGCAGAGCUAAGAACAAGUAACUCCACUACCUCAUCAUUAAAGUAAGAAUUCAUUUUUGUUAGCAAUGAAUCGAUACUAGUAAUGAAUAUAUCAAAGCUUUAGUGAUGCUUAAUUGUGAGGUUAUCUCUCUAGAUGCGAGACCAACCUCGACCAGCUUUGUACGGAGCACUUAAAUUUGAGACUUUUAUCUCAUGAUCUUUACAAAAUAAUUCAACUUUCUCAAAAAAAGGAUCCCACCCGUGUUCUUUGAAUUUCUAAAGAAGCGUUUUAGCUUAUGACAUCGGCUGCAUCACAUUUAGUAUGAACUUUGAGCAUAUGAAAUUUGUGUUGUUUAUGUCACAGUUGGUUCCAGUGCGUUUGGGCAAUAUUUUCCUUCUGGAUUUUCUUUGGUGUAUCAACAAUUAUAUUAACAAUGCAGUUGUGCCAUCAGUCUUAUUAGGUGCACAAUUUCUUGCCAUCUUUCAGCUACAAACCUGUUACUGUGAUAGUCUGAGGGAAGGUUUCCGUAGGAAAAAGCAAAAUAAUUCUUCUAGUUCAUCUAAUGGUUGUGGCUCAAAUGUGAAAUGCAAUAGUAGUGUUAAAGUAGGUCAUACUAAAAAUAUCAUCAAAGGUAGUAGUUAGAGUAUGGUUCAAUGCUCCUGUGCUAGUAUUUGGAAUAGCCUUGUUAUGUAUCCACUUCUACUUUUCAAGAAGGGUUAAAUAGAGAUAAGAGUAUAGACAGUGAAAACCAAGUUUAGUAUUGCAUAGCAGUUCUCAUUACUUCGAUGAUCUCGAAUUUCGCUAGUUAGUUAAAGCUGGGUAUCAGGUUGGGUAUGAACUAUUACGGGUUAUAAUGAUUUUCAAUGAGAUUAAGAGCGAGCUACAAUAAAUUUUAUGUCUGGAUUAUUUUGACGUUGAGAAGAAAUGCUUGAAUUAAAUUUCAUAGAGCUAUGACACAAGCCGAUCGACAGUUUGAAUGAGAAACUUAGAUUCUGAAAUACAUAAUACAUGGAUAUAUCAAUCAGAUCGGAGACAGUUGGGAAAAUUAUAAUUAUGGGUUAAAUUUGUUUUUGAUAAUAGAAGCUAGCAGAUUUGUAUUACAAAGGUACCAUUGGAAGCUUUUCAUGGAUGGAAUGUAGAACCCAGGUAUGCUACACAGAUGGAGCGACAACAAAUUAGUUGGGCCAGAGUAAUGGGAACUAUUAUCAGUUACGAGUUUCUAGUGCCGAUGAUGAAAUUAUUACAGGGAAACAUCAAAUUUAUUUAGUCAAGUUUGGUAUCUACUUAGUCUAAGCCAGAUAAGAAUUCAUUGUUUAUAAUUACGUUUCAUUCAGAUGACCUUGAAUCAUGAUGGUUUGAUUAAAAUGAAGUUAAGAGUUGAACCGUUAAUUCUACAGAGAAAUUUUGAGACACAGAGAGAAAUAUUUGAAUAUGUGCACUGAAUAAUUUUGAGAUUUUAUAGGACAUCCUAUAUGAGGUUCAUGGCAUUGUUUAUUUGAUCUCUAAAUCAGAUAGCAGCAAAAUGUAUAAGGGCUUGAGACAAAGUUACUGGUGCUCAGGAAUAAAACGUGAGAUUUCAAAGUUUAUACUGAGAUAUCUGAUAUGUCAAAAAGUCAAAGUAGAAUAUCAAGUAAUGUCUAUAAUAUUACGGUAUUGUAUGAAUUCUGAUUGGGAAUGAGUUACAAGACUACCUUUGAGGAAGAGAAAGAAGACUUGAUUUGAAUAACUUUUAUUAGGUGAAAAAAGAAUUUUGAGGAAGAAAUUUUCUUAAGGGGAAAGUUGUAACAACCCGUUUUUCAGCAUUGUCGAAAACAGUGGUUUUGAGGCUAUAAAUUCGAUGAGUGAUUUUGUAAAUAUUACUAUUUAAUAUUUACAAGUCAAAUAUUGUAUUAUAUUUGAUUUUGAUAUGGUAGUUUAUGUUAUUUGAAUGAAUAAUUUAAUUUAAGUGGUGUCCCUAAAGUCAAGUGGGUUUAGAAAAUAAGGUAUCGAAACCUCAUUUCUAUAAAUUGAGCCCAUAAAUAUUUUAUUAAAAUUUGGUUAAGAAAUUUUAAGGUUUAGGUAGUUAAUUAAUUAAAAAGGAUUAAAUUGCAAAGGUUGCAAAAGUAGGUUUCUAUUGAUUAAAUGGAUUAAAUGGCUAUGGAAAGGCAAACUAAAGGAUCUAGAUGGUAAUUAUACUAUAUAUAUUAGUGGUGGACAAAUAUGGACAUAUUCUAGUUACUUUAUAAGUUAUAACUUAAGGUUAAAUAAGUAAAUAAAUAAAUAAAAGUUUAAUUUAAUAAGCCAAAAUAGCAUCAUCUUCUCCAAAUUGCUAAUUUUUCAAAUCGAAACCCUUGUUGAGAAGAUGAAGCUUUCGGCCAUGGAGUUUUACAUGCAUGGUAUGUUGUUAAGUCAUGUUUUUAGUGAUUUUUAUAUUUUUAAGCUCAUAUUAACUUAAUUUAGUUAGCCUAGGGGCAAUUUGUAAAGUUAUGAAAUGUUUAGAAUUAUGCCAUGGAUGUAAUUGAUGUGUUAUGAAUUUAGAUAAUUGAUUAUUAAAUUUGGCUGUUAAAUAAACAAGUUUUGUUAAGUAAUUUUUAGUGAUUUUAAUGUUUAGGGAUUUAUUUGUGAAUAUGGUAAAAUUCAAGGAAAACAUUGUAAAUUUUUGAUAAUUAUGGGUUUUUAUAAGAUUGGGUAAAAAUCGGCUAGCAUGAAUUAUGGUUAAAAAUGGUGAAAUUUCAAGUUUCGGGUUUAGGGACUAAAUUGCAUAAAAUUAAACUAUUAGGGAUAAUUUUGUAAUUUUGCAAUAGUAUGGAUUAUAAGCUUGAAUUAAAUAUUUUAAGUUAAUUGAAUGGUUUAAUUGAUUGGAAAAUUAUUAUUUAGAUCAAGAAACGCUACAAUUGAAGUUAAAUCAAAGAAAAGCUUAAGUUUUAGAUUAGUUGUCGACUCCGUUUUAACAACAGUUCUAGUUGAGGUAAGUUCAUUUAAGGAUGGAAAUUCUUAUUUUUUCCAUUUUGUAUGAAUACAAAUAGUUAUUUAUGUUAUGCUAAAAUUAAUUGAUAAAGAUGUGAUAAAUUAAUCGAAUUAAAUAAUAUGAGAACUAAUACUAAUGUAUUUAGUGAUUUUUAAUUAUAGAUUGUAUAGUUUAAAGGUUACUUUAAUUAGAGUAAGUUCAUAGUAUUUCAAUAUGUAAAUGUAAUUUGCUAGUGAAUUAUAUUAUCGUUCUUUAGUCAAUUGAUGUACAUAUGUAUAUAGGUGAAAUUACCUUGGAUAUUUAUAUAACUAUGUGUGUUACAAAUAUUUUUGUAUCUAUGAAGUUGAUAAAGAAUAUUAGUAGUGCUUUUCUUGGAAUCAUAUUAAAAUUAUAUAUGAAUGAAAUGAAUUUAAAUAUGUAUACGAAAAUGAAGAAAGUGUUCCUGAAAUGCACAUUAGUGCCCCUGUUUGCACUUUGGUGCCCUUAAAUGCACAUUUGUGCCCCUGAACACACAUUUGUGCCCCUGUUCGCACUUUGGUACCCCUGUAUACACUUUAGUGUCCCUGCUUGCACGUUUGUGCUCCUGUUCGCACUACGGUGCCCUUGUAUACAAUUCGGUGUCCCCGUUUGCACGUUUGUGCCCUGUUCGCACUUUAGUGCCCCUAUUCUGUAUAUUCGAUGCCCCUGAUAAUGGAGUAAUGAUCGAUUAUGUGAACCGAGUACUAAUGAUUUGGACUAAAUGAUAUGGAUUGUUACAUGGAAUUGGUGUAAUUACUCGAGUACUUAAGUUAAGUUCCUAGUUCAUCGGGCUAUGAAAUAAUUGAAUUGCAAUCUAUUUAUAUGCUUAUAUAUUACGUCAUAAUUAUGGUAUUUGUAAGUGAAACAUAUUAUAAUGAAUUUAUUAGUUACAUGUAUGGAUUGUUACUUUGAGGAUAUGUGACUUAUGGCAUGAAAAGUCCUUUGAAUUGAAGGUUGUUUUAAUGUAUUUUGAUUGAAAAGGUAACAUUUGAGUUAUGUGGACAAAUGAUUUAUAUAGUGAAAUUCUUUUCAUAGUAUGAACGAGUUAGUAAAACUUUACAGAAUAUAUGAUUGUAUAAAAUGAUCUAUGAUUUAAUGUAAGAAUAUGAAAUUUAUGAUAAGGUUAGUUAAAAGAAGAUGAAGGUAUAUGAUAGUCAUAUAAUAGAUGAUUGGUGAAAUUGAAAUGCUUGAUAUAUUUUAUGCAUCAUUUGGGUUGGAUUUAUGUGUAUUGCUUCACCUAUUAACCUUUUGAAGUAUGAUGUAUAGGCAAAGGAAAUUUUGGUCUAUGAUUAAAUGAGUUUUCUCAUGGUUGAUUAAUCCAAUGCAAUUGGUAAGUUUAAGAUCUUUUAUAUGAGCUUAUUAAGCAUUAGUUGCUUAUAUAGUUGUUUUCUUUAUUUUGUAGAUAUAACAGCCCGGUUUAGACCUUAUUCGGACAGUGGUUUCGGGACCACAAAUCUGAGUCAGAAAAAUAUUUUAAUAUAAUUUUCGUGCUUAUAGUAUGUGAAUUGAUAUGUGUAAAAUUUUCGUGAUUUAAUUUAUCUGUUUGUGUGCUUAAUUUGUGAAAAGGGCUAACUCACAUAAAAAGUAAAAGUGGCAUUCUUAUUGUUAAUAUGCUAAUUUGUUAUGAUUCGAUUUAUGGGAAGUCCUUAAAAGGUUAUUGUGCCAUUAUAAAGUUAGUGGACAUUUAUGUCCAUGAUUCAAAUGACUUAAAUUAUUGUUUUAUUUAGGUUAAAAUAGUAAAAAGGUUAAUAACAUUAAAUAAAAUAAAGUAAAACAUAAAAAAAGGCCAUGCAUGUUCAUUUUAUUUGUCCGAAAUUUGAGAAAGGAAAAUAAGCUCUUGAGCUUUCAAGUAUUCGAGACUUUGGAGCCAAAAAGUUGGUAUGUUUCUUGUUCGGUUUUCGAUAAUUUUUACGUUUUUGAGAUCGUUGCUUCGUAUUCUAGCUAGCUCGUGUACUAAUUUUUGAAUUGGUUAAUGAAUUUGUGAGUUGCCAUUGAUGAUAGCUUGAUGUUUUUGUUUCUUAAUGAUGAAAAAUAAAUAUUUGUUGAUAGAUUAUUAAAUUUUGUUAAGUAAUUUUUGAUAAAAAUUCAAAUUAGGGAUUUAAUUAUGAAAAUGAGAAAUUGAGGGGCUAAAAUGUGAAACAAAUGAAAUAUGUGGGCCUAUAUGAGCUAAAGGAAUAUUCGGCCAAGCUAUGAUGUUGUCAAAUUUUGAAUAUUUUGUGUUUUGUGAAAUAGGGACUAAAUUGUAAAAAAUGUGAAAUAUUAGGGGUUAAAUUGAAAUUUUCCCAUUUAUGUAUUUUUGGAAUAAAUUUGAAUGAAAUGUGUUAUUAAAUAGCUAAAUUUGAAUUUAUUUAGAUCAAGAACAAAAGAAAACAGAAUUAGAACGAGGGAAGUCGAAAGUGGUCGAGUAGUCGAUUUCAUCCGCUUGUCUUCGUCUAAGGUAAGUUCGUAAGUAAAUUAUUGAAGUUAAAUUUACUGUAUUUAUUUCAUGUAUAGCCGAAUCUAAAUGUGUAUGUGUACCCUAUAAUGCUGAAUUAUAUUUGACAAAUGAUGAUUAAUUACAUGUUUUUAAUUGAUUAAUUUACGACAUCUGAAAGUCAUACGAACUACAGAAAUGCUGAAAUGUGACAUCGUGUAAGACCACGUCUUGGACGUUGGCCUCGAUUUGAGAUUUGCAUGUAAGACCAUGUCUGAGACAUUGGCGUCAUAUAAGAUUACAUGUAAGACCCUGUUUGGGACAGUGGCAUCGUUGUUUGAUUACUUGUAAGACCACGUCUGGGACGUUGGCAUUGUACGAGCUUUUUAUGCCGAUCGAGUAUCAUUUCUCUGAAUUCGAAAGGUAUAACGGGAAAUCAUAUGGUAAAACCGAAUGUGAGUUUGAUUUAAACAAUUCAGGUAUGUUUAAGUUAUACGAAAUUGAAAGUAAAGGUAGGUAGUAUAAAUAAAACAUGAAAAGAAGAAUUAAUCGUAUAAAAAUGAUUAUAUAUGUAUGUGUACAUGAAUAGUAGAAUUCGGCCUACAAGUGUAAUUUUUAUGAGUUCUUUGAAAAUUAUGUGCUUACAACUUACUAAGCUAUUUAAGCUUACUGUGUGCUUGUUCAUUCAUUGUUUUAUAGAUUUUGGAAUCUUGUUACGAGUUCGGGAGUCGUCAAGGAAGUCCGUCACACUAUCGAUCUCUAUCUCGGUAUUUUGAAAAUUCAAAAUUUUGAACAUAUGGCAUGUAGAGGCUAGUAUUUGUAUUGUUUAGUCAUAAAGUGUGUAUAUAUAAUUAGCCAUGCGAAAAUGGCUUAAUCUUGAUAUUAAUACUUAUGUGUUCGGUUAUGGUAAUAGUAUAUUAUGAAAAAAUAUUUCAUGGUAUUUAUAUAUGUGUGGUAUUUGAUUAUAUAGAUUUGUUAUAAUGUUUAAGCUUGUGUAUUAUGGCCAGAGUUUGAACCUAUUAUGAAAGUAGGUUAUUGGUAUAUAUAUAUAUGCAUGAGAUGUGAAAAUAAUUUUUGAAUGGUGGAUAGUUGUAUAAUUUAGCUUAGUAAUGUAGUAAUGAUAGAUAUGUAAUGGAUAAGCAUGCAUAUAUUAUAUAGGUUUGGAAAAAUGAAUUUUUAGGUAUAGUUCAUGAUGAAAUUGACAUGAUUUAUUUUUGGAGGUUAAUUGUGAUGAUCGAAUAUGUGGUUAAGGGAUUGGCUAUGUGUACGGAAGUUUUAAGUAUGUGAUUGAAGUGUACUUAAAGUAUGAUAUAUAUAUAUUCGAAAUGGUUCAAAAUAGCAUGGUCUCUUGCGCAUAAAAUUGUAAUGAGAAAAAAAUGUAUGAUUUGGUGUUAUAAUUUGAGGUAUAAUUAUCUUGGAAAUAGUUUGUGAGUUAGUAUAUAAUGUGCAUGCAAAUUCGGAUAUUCAGUAGUGAAAAUAAAUGUAUAAACUAGUAAUGUAACCACUUAAGGUUGGUUUACUAUGAAUAGGUUCGUGAGGGUAUGAUAUGUUUCAAUAUGAGUGAUUGAAGUUUGCUCAAAAUAUUGUGGAUAUAUGCGCAUAACCUCAUGAUGAGUGAAAUGGUAUAUUUGGCCUUAUUGUAAUGGUUAUAUAUAUAUGGUAUGGCUUGAUUAUGGAAUUUGCAAAUGAAGUAUACUAUGAUUUGUAGUACGUGUUAUAAAUUGGUUUAUAUUAAUUAGGUAAAUUGAGUGUAAGACUCUGAUGAUUUAAAUUUCAUACUUGACCACUUGUUGAGGUUGGUUAGGCUGAAUAUGUUGGGUCUAUAUGCUGUGUGAUAUUGCAUAGUAGUAUAAUUUGUAUGGUAUAAGUUUUAUAAUAAUAUAAGCUUAGAUAAUAUUGUUUUUUUUAAAGCAAAUGAGAUGAAUUUAGGAGUUUUAAGCUCUGAAAUUUGAAUGGGAUAAAUGUAUUGAUGUGGUUAAUUUAUGAAACAGGAAUUGUAAUGAAUGUGUUAUGAGCUAUGAUUUGUUCGGUAAUGCCUCAUAAUCCUAAUCUAGCGACGGAUACGAGUUAGGGUUGUUACAGUAGAUCAUCGGAAAGCUCGAACAGUUGGAAUCUUUGUCGGGGCACGAUCACACUAUCCAUCGAUCUACUUUGGUAGCUUUUGAAUAUAUUGAAAUGGUUAUAAGUGGCAUGUAUAGGGUUGUAUGGUAUUUUGGUAUGAUUUGAAUGUAAUAAGGUUUUAAGUUUUGAUUUGGUGAUUGGAUUGUUUUUGAAUGGUUCCAAGUCAUUUUUGUUUAUGUCUUUUGAUAAAGGUUUGUUAAUGGUGUGUAUUCAUAUGGGAUGAUAGUAGCUAUGCACACUCUCAUGUAGGUAAAAAGAAAAAGGUUGUUUGAUAUGUUUGUGAUAUGGUCAUUUGGUAUGCAUAAGGAAUGCUAAGUGAUGUAAAAUUAUAUUGUUGAAUAGGUUCAAAAUUUAUUGUAAUAGUGGUACCUAUUGUUGGAACAUUGGUUAGAACAUAUAGGAUGAUUGAUUUGGUAUAUUUUGAGCAAGUUUGGAAUAAGUUUUGGUUUUUUGAAUUCUUGUGGAAAUGGUGUGUAUUGAUGUGUAAGUUUUGGCUUGAUUUUAGCUUGAUUAAUGGAUUAAUUUGGAAGCACAUAGCCUGAGACACAGGCUGUCAUGCGGUCGUGUGGCACACACAGGUAUCCCUUACGGCCAUGUGUGCUUUGUUAGUUUUGGUGCAAGAUUCACACGGGCUUAGACACAGCCGUGUGUCUCAAGUCAGAGAGUUAUAUGGUCUAUGACACGGGCUGGGUCACGGCCGUAUGCCCCUACUUCGAAUGCUCACACGGUUUGAGCUGUGUCACACGGCCGUGUGACCACUGUUUUUUAAAUUUUCAAGUUUUUCCUAAAAUUUAUGUUUUGAUUCAUUUUGAUCCCUGAUUGCUUUUAAGUUAUUUUUAGGGCCCCGAAAGCCUGAUUUAAGGCCUAAAUAAGUAUGUAUGCUAAGAUUGGAAUGAAUUAUUGGUAAUUAUACUUAAGUUGAAUUAUUUGUUCAGAUUUAAAGUUAAAGGUUUCGUAUUGUACAAUAACGCUCUAUAACCCUAAUUUUUCGACGAAGAUGGGUUUAAGGGUGUUACACACACACACAUAUGCACAAUUGAUUCCAUGGCAUUAUACUAUAUCAUUUCGAUAUCUUUUAUUAAGCCGCAAACUCAAACCAAUUUCACAUAACUCAUUUUAUUACCAUAUUAUAUUGUCAAUCUAUUUCAUUACAUUUUGAAGUUUCUAAUUUCAAUUAUAAUAUCAUGAUCGAUGAAACCAUUCAUAAGUCCACAUCAUAUCCUGAAAUUAUUUUCAAUUACAUAUCAUACCCUAAAUUCGAUAGUAUUUGCAUACUCGUACCCUGUACACUUUUCUUAUCGUAUGACAAUGAUUUCAUUACAAUUCAAUCCAAUAUAUAUGUUCACAUUCAAUUUCAGAAUCACAAUUCAAUUCAUCAUCAACACAUAAAAUAUCAUGAUAAACAUGUCUUAUGAAUCAUCUUAAAUAUGAACAAAUAACUAGUUAGAAAUAUAUCAUAUUAACAUGUCAUUUCCCAAACUGGAUCGUUGAAUUCGUCACAAUUUCAUACCAAUCUUUCGGACUUAUAAAUCCAGUUUACAAAUUCCUUUCACAUUAACAAUUAUUUUCAUUAUAAUUAUAAAUUUUUACAUAUUAAAUCCUUAUUAACUUGACUCGGACACGAACGGAUACACAAAUCCAACCAACAUCGCAAUUUGGCACUCGGUGCCUCAUCGAAUAAUUUUCAAAGAAAAUAGAUUGUACCCAUCACUCAUCAGUAUGACCAAAGCGAAAAUUGUGCCCAACACUCAUCGACACAUAGUCAAAGUAACCAUUUGGCACUAGAACAUCCGAAGUAAUUAUUUUGUGUCCAACGCUCAUCGGUAUAACGAAAUAAAGGUUGUGCCUAGCACUCAUCAGAACGUUCGAAGUAAAAUGUGUCCCAUGCUCAUUGACAUAUAGUCGAAAUAACUCCACCCGAGCAGUUAAUAGGGUAAAAAUUUAUCCAAUUCCCUUAUAAGUUCAAUUCUCAUUCUAUCGAUAUCAAUAUCAUUAAUUUAUCACUCAUGAUAUCAUUUCAUACAUAACAUAGCAUACCAUCUCAAUUCCAAUCCAAUUUCACCAUUUCAUUUAGUUUUAAUAUUUUCACUUUUAUUCAAUUUAAUCCUUAAUCUCAAUUAUCAAUUAAAUUCACACCAAUGUAAUUUGAUCAAUCAUAAUAAACUCAAAUAAUCAUUUUCAAUUUACCUCAAUAUCAUACAUUGCAAAACAAAAUAAAUAGGUAACAAAUAUAAUGAUUCAAUUUAUAGAAAUACAAACAUAACAUGAAUUAACAUAAUAAGUUCCAUAUGAACUUACCUGGCAAAACAACAACCAAAUGAGCUUUUAAGGGCUAUUCGACAAUUUUUGCUUUUCCGCGAUUAGCCUUGAUUUGGUUCAAUUCUUGAUCUAUAAAAUAAUUCAGUUCAAUUUAUCAAUUCCAGACAUCUCAUAUCAUUCUAUUAUAAGCAUGUAUAAGUUCAAUUUCAUUUUUAAAUGUCCCUUAAAGUUUUUAAUUUUAUUCAAUUUAGUCGCUAAAACCGAAAUAGUCAUGUCUUUCAAAUUUGAGCUUCCUUUUACAAUCUGAUUUCAAUCUCAUCCUCUAUAACCUCUCUACUAUCUAUUUUUAUCAAAAUCUCAUAACAUCUUUACAAAUAAGUCACUUUAAUCCUUAUGUUACAAAACUAACAUUUAAACUUUAUAUAAGCUUAAAAUCUAUCAAUUUAAUACAAAAAAAAACUUUAAGAAAUCAACCUCUUAACACACGCACUUCACCCAGAAGACUGAUAUACCCUGUCACUUAGAAAUUUUCCAAGUUCUGGGAAUAUAGUUCUGCAUUCAUUGACCUCGCCCUCUGAGUGUUCUCUUUCAUGACAUUCCUGAUGUAAUACCCCGAAAAUUACUACAGUAAGAAAGUAAGAUAGUAUCCUUGAUAUAGUAAAAUAAAGAAAUAAAGUGACAGAAAGGAAAAUUUUGAUUUAUGUCAACAUUGGGAAGUAUAUUAGGACAUAUUAAGGCAAGAAAGGACUAAUUCGCAAAAGUGAGAAAAGUUUUGUUGCCCAAGAGUAAAUACUUAAAAUUUGAGGGGUUAAAGUGUAAAUAUGAAAAAGUUAAAAGAUCAAUAGUGCAAAUAUUUUAAGAUUGGAAUGAUCUAGAAACUAAGGAAAAUGGAUGAAUUAGGACCAAAUUGAAUAAGUGAAGAAUUAUGAGGGACUAAAUCGUAAUUUUACCAAAUUGAGUAAUGACUCAAGGAUGGAAUUUUAAAAGAUCAUGAAGGCUAAAAUGGUCAAUUAGAAGGAGAGAGAAAUCUAGAAGACAAUGAUGAUGUUGGUGAUAUUUUAGAUAAUUAAAUAAAUAAAUAUUAGUUUAUAAUAUCUUGAUUUGAUUUUUUUAAUGAUAUUUUAUUAUUUUAUUAUUUUAUUUAGCAUAAAUAUAUGUGGAAAGAAAGAUGAAAAACCACCAUCCCACCAUUUUUCCCAUGCACCAACGUGAGAAGAAGAGAGAAAGAAAGAAAGUUUUGCUUUCUUUACAAUUUGGUCUUUCCACCAAAAACUUACCAUUUUCACCUAGAAAUCAGAAGAAUUUCCAUAGCUACCAAGAGAGAAAAAUGUUAAGAAGACUAUAGGGAGUUAUAAUAUCAAGUUGAAUUCAAGAAAUAGAAGCUGGAGGAGUGAGAAAAAUCAAGUUAAAGAUUGAAAUCAAUAUGACAAGGUAAGAACAUCAAGAUUUUAAUAUAUUUUUAAGUUUGAUAUUAUUGAAAAUGUAUGGAAAUGAUGUUAAUGUAAAGUUUUCGUAUAUAUGGUCCUAUGUUCUUGAUAUGUUAGUGAAGAGAAAAUAAGUAAAAGUGAUGAGAAAUAGUGUAGAGAAAGGGAAAAAAAGGGUGUUAUAAACAUGGUAAUUAAUAUCUUGCACUAAAAUAGUUUUGGACAGUAGCAGUAGUCUAACUUUGAAAAAUCACCAAAAAUUGCAAAAAUCGAAUUAUAGGAUGAAUAAAAUAUGAAAUUAAAUUUUAUUGAGUCUAGUUUUUCAUAGAAGAAGCAAUGUAAGCAAUGGAAUUAUAAAUCAUGAGAUAUAAUAAAUUUUGUGAGACAAGGUCAGAAUGAUUUCGGGUUCCCCUAUUUUGAUUUUAGAAAAUCAUAAAAAAUUGGAGAAAAAUAAUUAGGGGCUUAAAUUCAUAUGUUUCAAAUCUUUAAUGAGUCUAUUUUUAAGAGAAACAAAUAGGAACAUCAUUCGAAUCCCGUACGAGGAGAUAAUUAAUUUUUAGUGAAAAAGGGUCCGAAUUGUCAAACAAUAGAACAGAGGGGACUUUAAAGAAUAAACUGUACUUAUUGGCAAAACCAAAACUUAUGAAAAUUUUAUGUAAAGAUAUAUGUGAGUCUAGUUUCAGAAAAAAAUUUCAGAUCCUAAUUUGGAGUUCUGUAGCUCAAGAUAAAAAUAAUUUAGUGACUAUGACACGGAUGGACAGCUUUGAAUAAAUUUAUAAGUAAAUAGUGAAAUAAUAGAUAAUGUUACUUAUAAGCAUGUUAUAUAAAUUAAGGAUGUGGAAUGGAGAGGAGGAGGAUGAGGAGGAGGAAAAUAUAUAUAUGAAUAUUCAACUAACAUGGCUAAUUUGCAUGAUUUAGGCUUAGGGACUAAAUUGAAUAAAAGAAAAACUUUAUGGGCAAUUUUGUAAAAAUUUCAAAAAUGACCAAAUUAUAUGAAACAAAUUGUUUUAUUAUUUAAAUUACAAAAUUAAAUGAAAUUAUUAAUUUAGAUCAAGAUCGGGUGAAAACAUGUUUUAGGGAUUAAAUUGAAAAGUGUUGAAAUUAUGGAAAAUUCUGAUAUUUCAUAGAAUUCAUGGGUUGCUAUCAAUAUGUAUGAGAAUAAUUAGGCUUGAAACAAGGAUUAAAUUACAAGAAUUUUAUUUUUCUGAGCCUAAGGAUAAAAUCGUCAUUAAUUAAAAGCUUAAGGGUAAAAUGGUAAUUUUUCCUAGAGCAUUAAUUGAAUGUAUCAGAAUAUGAAAUGAAUGAAAAUGAUGAUCAAAAUUAUUAAUAAAGAUCUGAAUGACUCAAAUAUGAGACUUGAACAUGGAAAAGAAAAUAUAUCAGAUUAGCGAAAUUAUAAACACGAACAAGCAACGAGGUAAGUCCGUGUAACCUGAAUUAUAUUCUUAAAUGCUUGAAAUGUAUGUUAUUGAUGUGAAUAUGAUUUAAAUGUUCAUUGUAUGAAAAUUUAUGAAACUUUGAAAUAUUCGAUAAAAAAGGGAAGAAAUCCCGGUUGAAUGGAAGGAAAAUUCGAUGGAUCUCUGAAAAGGAAUUGACGAUAAAAAGGAUCUAGCCCGGAUGGGUGAUCCUAUCUUGAUAUAGCCCUCUCGAAGAAUAUGUGUAAAAUGGAUUUAGCCCGGAUGGGUAAUCCGAAUUAGGGUCUGAAUUUAGCCUGGACUGGUAAUUCAGAUCCAAGCUCAUUAGAGUAAUUGUUGUUGCAGGGGAUUUAGCCUGGACUGGUAAUCCCGACAAUACUCUAUGAGUUUAUAUUACAGGGGAUUUAGCCUGGAUUGGUAAUCCCGCUGUAAGGAUGAGGCUCGCGGGAGUGUACUCUCUAAAAUGGAAAUGUGCGCAUAUGAAUAUAAAUUGACGGACCUGGUAUUGUACACUAAAAGUGUACCUUUGAAAGUCCAUCGAAAUUCUGAGAAAUUCAUCGGGAUAAUAUGGGAAAUAAUAGGGUAAUUAAGUGAAAAUUUAAAUCGAACGAAAUGAAUAAGUUGAGCCAUUGAAAGGAAACGUGAUUGUGGAAUAUAUUUGAAAAUGUGAAUUGAAUAUGAAAAUGUGAAUAGAAAGCAUGAACUAAGUGUUCAUAAGAUAAAUAAAGGCUCAAUGUAAGAGUAAAUGAUGUUAACAAAUGAAAACAAAAUUGAAUUGUAAAUAUUGAGCAAUGAAUUAUUAUAGGAAAUAUAUUAUCAAAUUUAAUACUGAUUUUGGAUUAAAUGCGGGAUUAAGUACAAUCGUUCUGUGGUAAAUGAUGAAUUGACGGAUAAGACCAUAACUGGGUUAUGGCAUUAUGAACAUAAGACGAUGGUUGGACCAUGACACUGUUUAUAUGUUCAAGACCAUAGUUGGACUAUGGCACAAAAGAACAAUGUACUCAUAUCUGUAAGUCGUUCUUCGAUUCAGAAAGAAACGGUAAAAGACUUAUGUGAUUGAAUUGAAAGAUUUAUAGAUUAUUAUUGGUAUUGAUCUGAAAUAAAUGUAUCCAUUGAUAUUUAAAUGAUAUAACGAGCAAAGUUCUGAUGUGAGAUAACAUUAGUUUGAAGUGAACUAUUACUGGUAUGUACGAGAAAUUCAUGAAAAUGAUGGUACAUGAAAUAUCGAAAUAAAGAAAUGAAUGAUAUAUGCCUAUGAAGAAACUGCAAGAGAAUGAUAUGUAUCAUUACAUGUAAAUAUAUGAUUAUCUUUAAUAUGUUGAUACAAGGAAAUUAUGUAUGAUGAGUUUAUAUGUAAUAUGUGCAAGUACGCUAACCAAUGUUGUUGCUUGAUGCUUAGGGAAGUGCCAAGCUAUUGGUUGAAUGGUAAUAUGUUUAAUUAUAAGAUGCAUUGAAAUGGUAAGUGCUCAAAUGAAAAUGUGCUUGUGUUCAUGAAAUGGUGGUAAGUUUAAAGUUAUGUAAUUUCUUAUGAAAAGGCUUAUUAUAUGAUUAAUUCUAAAAAUGCUAUGUUUAAAUGCAUUAGCUUGUGCCUAUGGUUGAAUGAUAUGUUUAUGGCUGGUGUGUUAUACAUAUGGAAUGAGUGUAGAAAGUAAAGAAAUGCAAAUGAAAAUAAUGAAAUUCGGAAGAGUAUAAAGUUGUUUAAAAUCCUAUUAUGCUAGGGAUAAUAUGUACAAGUGAUGAUGUGGAUUUAUUCACCUUGUGAGUUGUUGAAUAUAGCUUCAUGAGUAUUGUGGUAUUAAUAGUGGAUUAUUCUUGAUAUGUAUAGAUUUCAUAUUUGAAAUAAAAUAAUAUGAUUAAAGUCUAUACGAGCUUACUAAGCAUUUAUUGCUUAUGUAUUAGCUUUCUUCUACUUUUCAGAUUAUCGGAAGCUCGAUUAGGUUGGAAGCUUGUCGGAGACAUAUCACACUAUCCAUUGGUUCUAUUGGUAUGUUCCAAUGUUUGGAUUUUGGUUAUAAUGGCAUGAAUAGGUAUUUUGUUUAAUGAUGGUCUAUUUUUAUUCACAUGGGCAGAGACAUGGGCCUGUAUCCCCUACUUUUAAGAAAAUUUUUAAAAAGUUGGGAAAUGUUCGUAUUUAAUUCGUAAAGUUUAGUAAUGCUCCGUAACCUUGUUUUAGUAACGGAUAGGGGUUAGGAGUGUUACACCUGACACAUUCGACAUGCACGUGUCUUGCCUCCAACUGUUUUGCUUGUCUCAACCCCAUUUUUGGCAUCAAGGUUGCCAGUCUGUAAAACGUGACUAAGAAAAUUGAUGAAAUUGGCAAGUGACGUGUAUGCCUCAAGAUGGAAUUAAUGGCCUCAAAGAGGUUGGUCGUCAUAUGACCAUAUCGAUUCCCAUCAUCAAAACAUUUAGCCCAUUUCCACGGCUCCAUUCUACCAAACUAUUACCUGAGAGAAAGAUCGAACCCUUCCAUAUUAGUCUCUAACCUUGCCAGCUUAUGUCUGAAUUGAUGUGGUUCCAACUCGUACCCUAUAUAUGUAUUUUGAUAAAACACAUUACCACCCCUUUUAGUAAAUGGAUUUGAAUUAUUUAUAUAUAAAAAUUUAAAUACGAUAAUUUUACCCGUGUUCAUGAUUUGUUUGCGCUAGUCUUUGCUCUUAUACUCCUUGUGGAAGUUGACAACAUUGUGGCGAAUACAGUAGAUGGACCUCCAUGUAACAUCGUAUUGCCGAAUUACAGCAACAAGGUCCUUUGAUCUGUCGAAGACAAUGCAAAUGUUGUUUAUCCUGACAACAUGCCUCCACAAGUUUCUAAUGAAAAGUUCCCAUGAUUUGGAGUUCUUCGACUCCACGAGGGAGAAAACAAUAGGUAGUACAUUUUGGUUACUACCUUGCAUAACUGCAAUCAGAAGUAUCUGCGUGUAUUUUCCAUAAAGCCACGUUCCAUCAACCUGCACAAAUGGUUUGCAGUAGGAGAAGGCCCUAACAUAUGGAUCGAAAGUCUAGAACAAUCGGCGAAAAACUCUUCUCCCUGGUUCAAGUAGUUCAUUCGGGCCACUGUAAGGCAACGUUUGCAAGUCCACAACAGUUCUUAGGACGUACUACACCAUCAUUGAAAUCCACCCCUGAAGUUUAUUUAUGACUCAUCCCAAUCGCCGUACAAUUGCUACAUGGCCGUUUAUUUCGCCCACCAUGCUUUCUUGUACUACACUUUGUACUACAAUCAAUGUCGACACAAGAAUAGUUAUGCUUUCUUUCACUAGUGACAUGAUGCAGAUACUUUUUGCAUCGAAUUUCCAAUGGUCUUGAGUAAAUUAAUUAUAAAUUUAUAAUAAAUUAGUUUAGGGUUUAGGGUUUAGGGUUUUUAAGUAAAAACUCAAAUAAAUUAGGGUUUGGGGUUUACGGUUACUUAAUUAAAUUAUUUGUUAAUUUAAAGAAGCUCCGACAUGAACGCGCUUUUGCUACAGUGGCUCCUGAGAAAAUAAUUUCGAGUAGACGUUUCUGAGCAAACAGUGUCAAAAAUGCUUUAAGCAGGAUGCUUUGUCAGUAGAAGUACUGAAAAAAGCUCCCACGUGGACGCUCUUUUGUUACAGUAGCUCCUAAAAAAUAAUUUUGAGUAGACGUUUCUGAGCAAACAAUGUCAAAAACGCUUUAAGCAGGAUGCUUUGUCAGCAGAAGUACUGAAAAAAUCUUCCACUUGGACAUGCUUUUGCUACAGUAGUUGAACGUUAUUGUAAAAAACUUUGUAUUAUUUAUAUUUUGUUAAAUCGAAAAUUGCCUUAUUUAAAGCGUUAUUGUAAAGAAUUUCGAUUAUAUUAAAAAUAUUAAAGUAAAUUACAAUUACUUUAUUCAAAAUAUUUCCUUAUUUAAAAGAAUUUCUAUUAUAUUAAAAAUGUAAUAGUAAAUUUCUAUUUUAGUACAUGAAAUAAUAUAGAAGAAUUUCUAUUUUAUUACAUCAAAUAAUAUCAAAUUAUUCAAAAUGUUUGUACAAAUAUAUUAAAAUAAAAAUCAAUCUCUGUGCCCGCCGGAUUUAGUGCCACAAGGAGGCCGUCGACGGUUACGCGCUGGAUUCUUCCUUUGUCCAGUCUCCGGCGGGGGUUGUGGUUGCUCCGGCGGGGAUUCUAGUUCCUCCGGUAUGGUAUCUGGUUGUCGGUGUUGGGACGAUGAGUCACCUUGAUAGAAUAGUGACUGUGGAGGUGUUUGCAUCACCAAUAGCGAAGCUGUUUGAAACCCAUACGGUGACGGCGAUUGGUAAAAAGAAGAGCUCCCCGACGGCCCCUCUUGCGAUCCCUCGUGCGAUGUUGGCCUAUACAUCGGCGGUCCACUAAAUGAAGAUGAACCAGGACAUGGACUCCAACCUGCCAUAGGACUCGAAAAAGGAAACAUAUAAGGGUUAGGAUACAUAAAGGAGCUAAGAUACGUACCUGGCAUCAUCUGAAAAGGCUGUGCCGUGGGUAUCAUCGGGUGAACUGAUGGGUCGGGUGACUGUGUCGGUGCUCUCGCUGGCUUGGUGAUUGAAUGGCCGCUGAUGAUAGGCCGGGUGAAUGUUUGAGCCUCGUUGAUGGGCCUGCGUCGUCGUCCCUUCAUCUUGGAUUUAAAGGGUCACGUCGUUCCAUUUGGACACGUAAUUGCCGCUGCCUCUCCUCUGCUGACAGUAAAUACGGCUUGCCAUGGAUCCUAAACCAUGGCAUGUAUUCCGACAUGUACGCUAACUCAGGAACGAUGAUCGGUUCCCGAGUAGGUAUAUAAUCAUACCGAUCUUCCCACAUUUGGAUGUAGUGUGACUAGAAUCUCGGCCAAUCCGUAUGCAAUUACCGUAGGUCGAUUUUGUGAUGAUCAUCCAACACCUCAGGUGCCACGGGGAUCGGUUGUCGGAAUCCAAAUUGCCGUAAUACUCUGUCUGACUGGUGCAUCUCCACGGUCACAUAGUUGACCAACGCGACUUUCACUUGCCAAGCGUUUGGAUUUUGGAGGUACUCAUCCGAAAUUACUGCCCGAAUUGUCGGAUCCUCGUAUGGUGUCCAUUCAAACUAUAUGAACAUGAUGGAAAUAUUAGUUAUAUACAUAAUACAUAAUACUAAAUACUAAAUACCAAUCGACUAGCUCAUGAUGAAAAUAUCAAUUUUAUUUAAUACUUACUUGUGCUUCCGACUUUUGGUCUAAUAGAAGCCGUAUAUCUUUAAGACAGCUAGGUAAUCCAGCAUAACUUGCAGGAUGGUUCCACCUAAUUAAAUAAAUUUUUAGAAUACUAUUAUAUUUUAAAUCUACGUAAUAAUUGUAAAAUCUAAUAUAAAAUUUACCUUAUUAUGAGUGGGAAUGUUUAUGGGUGGUCCACUCGAGGACGUAAAAAUAGAAAGUGAAACCAUGCCCAUGACUGUAGUAGUGACAGGCAACCUCCGAUUUUCGCUUUAUUCGGUCACGUCGCCCCGCACAUCUCCCGGUAUAGUGUUGCCAACACGGUCGACCCCCAACUCAAUUCACCGGCUACUCUAAAAUCAACAAGUUUCAGCAGCCAUCUUAGAUGUACGAGGUUCCGUGACAAUUCUGGCAUCAGAUAGCCUCCAAUUAUCUGAAGAAUGUAUGCCCAAGCAUAGCAGAUUCUUUCUAGUUCAGUUGAAUCAUCAUCCAGAUCCGAGAAUGUGUCUCGUAACCAGCCCAUCUCGAUCCGACCCCUGUUAAUAUUUUUCGAAAUAGCGCCCAAAAGCUCGUAGCAUACCGCUCCCCAAUCGCCAGAUUGAAUAGACCCGGUGACUGGGUACCCGUCCACCGGCAAUCCCAAUUGCAGAUUCACAUCUUCCAAAAUGAUAGUGCACUUUCCACAUGGAAGAUGGAAUGUGUACGUCUCGGGUCUUCACCUCUCAAGCAACGCACUGAUAAAUUUCGGGUCCAACUUGCAUCCCUGGCCUACAGUCGCCACGUGCUAAAAACCCGCUUCCCGGAGGUAAUUCUCUAAUAACGGUGAUGGAGGACCAUGCAUAUUACGGAUAUAGCAUAGCAAUAUCUGAUCUACAGACUUUUAUAACAAAUAAUAAAUUAAUAAUUAUUUAAAAUUGCAUAAAUAAAAAAAUUAAAUAAUAUUUAAAAAUUAAAAUUAACACUUACCAUUUUCAUUUGUUCGACAGAUAUGUGCUUGUCAUAAAGAUGAAUCAAUUCUCCGGCCAUAGUUAAAUUCGUACAAAUUUUUACGAUUUAAAAAAAUUCAAAAAAAUAAAAUUUAAAUUUUUUUUAAAAAUAAUUAAAAAAUUAAAGCUCUUUUAAAUAGGGAUUUGAGAGAAAUUUGAAAGGAAAUUGAGAGCAAAUUGAGAUUAAAUAGGGAUUUGAGAGAAAUUUGAAAGCAAAUUGAGAGCAAAUUGAGAGGAAAUUAGAGAAGGAAUGAUUUAUUUGUGAAAAAAAAUGAAAGGGUGGAGGGGUUUUAUAGUUUUUUUUUUACCGUUGGGGGGUCACCAACGGUCAAAAACGUAGCCGUUGCUACUGUUCACGCGGCCAAAACGCGUCCCCAGUAGAGCGCUUACGUGGCAGGAAAACGCGUCCUUGAAGGCGCACUUUGUUGCCACGUAGGCAAAGCGCUUCCUUGAGGAAGCGUUUUCCUGCCACGUCCCCUGACAUCGCGCUAACGUGGACGCGCUUUCGGGGAAUUAGGCCAAUCCGAUAAUUAAUUUAUUAUCAGGCCCAUUUCGGUAAUUUUUUUAAAAUUGGGUUUUUUUUAGUGUUUUGCCCUAAAUGUUUCGUAUUAGUUUUAUAAUUUUAAAAUUAUCAAAGUUAUAUAAAAAUUUUAUUUUUAUAAUUUGUUUAUAAUUUUUAUGAUUUUUAAUAUUUUUAAAUUUUAAAAGCGUAAUUGAUUUUUUAAAAUUUGUUACUAAGGUCUUUUUGAUCCUUUAGUUUUAUUAGUUUAAAAAUUACUUCCAACAAAAGAGUAUGAGUCAAAUUGAAUAAAUGUGUAAAGGUUAAUUAUUGAAUUUGUUAUUAUGCCUUAUAUAUAAAUAUCAUAUUUUAAUAGAGAGGUGGCUUUGCUCACUCAUCUAGCAUAAAACGGCUAAUUUGCAAAUUUAUUCAGUAGAAAGGCUAAAAUUCAAUCCAAGAUAUAAUACAAGAGAUUUUGUGAUGAUUUUAUCAUAUUUAUAAUAAAAUUGAUAAAUACAGAUACAUAUUCAAAUAACUAUAAAAUAGAAUCAAAUUAGUCAACAUCCUCUAAAUCUAAUGACAAAAACAUUUAUGUCGUGACACAAGAGCUUAGGUUGAAUUACUAGCAACCCCAUCCUUACCCUCAAUUAUUAAAAAAAAAUAGAAUCAAAUUAUUUACAGAUGAAGAAUAAAAGUGGAUAUGUAGUGAAGGGUGAGUACUAGUUCAGCGUAAAAAUAUAUGGUACACUAUUUUUAAAAAAGGUAUAUGAUAAUUUUUUAAAACUGUUUGUAGUAAAAAAAAUACACCACACCGUACUUUUACUUUUUUUAAAAAAUUUAAAAUAGUUGGAUUUGGUUGCUUUUUAGAAUGCAAAAUUACCGAAAGGAAGUGUGGGAUACUUUGGAGGAUAAAUUUUUGAAAAGGAAGUUUGAGAUUCGAGUGCAACAAAAGGAACUCUUUUUGAACUAUGACCAUAAGAGGUAUUGGAAAAUCAUGGUUUCAAAUAAAAUUGGAGUGUCCGAAUAUCAGAUACUCUUAAGAGAGCUCUACAUUCUAUAUGAUGACAACAGAUUUGUUUCCCAUAAAAAAUAUAUCCCAUUUCUUCCAUCUUUCAAUUACAAAAUAAAUUAAACCUCAAAUUCAAUCUCUUGAUAAAAGCAUCAUUAAAGCUCUUAUGAUAGGAGUUAGAUUAUAUUUUACUUAAUGGAUCAAUUUGUUCUUUAUUCUAAUGUAUAACGGUUAAUUUACUUAUGUUUUGAGUAAAAGAGGCAAAAUGCAAUUCAACUCUUAAUACAAAUAUUUCUACGAUACUAUGGGGGAGUCCAUUUAGUGCUUACCGCGCAUGUUCCUAUGGCUUUUGCUAUGGAGGCUUUGGCAUGUUCUCAUGUCGUUCGCUUAGCUGCAGACCUCGGCCAGCAUAAGAUGACUUUUGAGGGGGAUUCACUUAGUGUUAUUCACAAGGCCUGCUGUCCUCUACACAACAUCUUAGCCAUCGAGGCUUACAUUUGGGAUGUGAAAGCGAUAGUUUCUUCCUUUCACCAUUGUUUGUUUGCUUAUAUUGCUCUCGAGGGUAAUACUCUAGCUCAUUUGCUGGCUACGAUGAGGCUGGUGGUUCUUUUUUUCUAAGCGGUGUCGUCCCUAGUUUUACUUCUCUCGCGGCGGAAUGGGAUCGACAGGAUAUCGAUUUGAACGAGAACGACGACUAAGGAGAUUUGUACAUAUCUUGUUCUUUAGAUGGGUCUUUGGCAAAGGAAUGUAAUAGGGUUCACUGUUUCGGUUGGCUUUCGGGGGAUCUGUUGAUCUAGGCAUCGUGGGGGUUGUCCGUGAUUAGUCGCUGUUGACGUUGGUCACCUCUUGUUCUUUACUCUAGCUAUUUGGCGAGCUUGGCGUUAUUUCACAUGGCUUUGGUUGCUAAGGGCCAUAGCUUGUUUUGUUGACAACUCCUUCUAGGAUUUGGAAUGCCUUUCUUUUAUUGGCUGGGAGCUGCUCAAACUGGGCUUUCUGUUUUAUUUUUGUUUGUUUUAGGUUUGGCCCGUCUGUUUUGCUUACUUUGUUUGGGUUUGUUGUUUCGACUUUAUUUGCUUUGUUUGUUGAUAAAAAGCCUAGUUUGAAUUAAAAAAAAAGUUAUUAAAGAAAAACGUGUAUAGUAUAAAAUGCGAUUAAAAAUAUUGAAUUGUUAAUGAAAAACACAUUUGAUGUAAAGUUUUUAUGACAUACUUUUAAUGCCGACUACAAAUGUGGAAGUCACACUAUGGGGGAGUCCGACCCAGAGGACCAACAUAUGGAAGAGCCCGACCCAAAGGACCAACCUUUGAACACACGCACUUCAUCUAGAAAUCCGAUAUACUCUGUCACUUAGAAAUUUUCCAAGUUCUAGGAAUAUAGUUCUGCAUUCAUUGACCUCGCCCUCUAAGUGUUCCCUUUCAUGACAUUCCUGACACCUUCGACAUGCACGUGUCUUACCUCUAACUAUUUUGCUUGUCUCAACCCCAUUUUUGGCAUCAAGGUUGCAAACCUGUAAAACAUAGCUAAAAAAAUUGAUGAAAUUCGCAAGUGACGUGUAUGCCUCAAGAUGGAAUUAACGACCUCAAAGAGGUUGGUCGUCAUAUGACCAUAUCGAUUCCCAUCAUCAAAACAUUUAGCCCAUUUCCACGGCUCUAUUCUACCCAACUAUUACCUGAAAGAAGGAUCGAACCCCUCCAUAUCAGUCUCUAACCUUACUAGCUUAUAUCUGAAUUGAUGUGGUUCCAACUCGUACCCUAUGUAUGUAUUUUGAUAAAACAAGUUACCAUCCCUUUUAGUAAAUGGAUUUGAAUUAGUUACAUAUACAAAUUUAAAUACAAUAUUUUUACCCGUGUUCACGAUUUGUUUACGCUAGUCUUUGUUCUUAUACUCCUUGUGGAAGUUGACAACGUUGUGGUGAAUGCACUAGAUGGACCUCCAUGGAACCUCGUAUUGCCAAAUUGCAGCAACAAGGCCCUUUGAUCUGUCGAAAACAAUGCAAAUGUUGUUUUUCCUGACAACAUGCCUCCACAAGUUCCUAAUGAAAAAUUCCCAUGAUUUGGAGUUCUUCGACUCCACGAUGGAGAAAAUAAUCGGUAGUACAUUUCGAUUACCGCCUUGUGCAACUGCAAUCAAAAGUAUCUACGUGUAUUUUCCAAAAAGCCACGUUCCAUCAACUUGCACAAGCGGUUUGAAGUAAGAGAAGGCCCUAACAUAUGGAUCGAAAGUCUAGAACAAUCAGCGAAAAAAUCUUCUCCCAAGUUCAAGUAGUUCAUUCGGGCCUCUGUAAGGCAACGUUUGCAAACCCACAACAGUUCUUAGGACGUACUACACCAUCAUUGAAAUCUGCCCCUAAAGUUUAUUGUAUGACUCAUCCCAAUCACCGUACAGUUGUUGUAUGACCAUUUCUAUUGCCCACCAUACUUUUCUGUACUACAUUUUGUACUGCAAUCAAUGUCGACACAAGAAUAGUUAUGUUUUCUUUCACUAGUGGCAUGAUACAGAUACUUUUGACAUCCAAUUUCCAGUGGACUUGAGUCAUACGUGUGACAGUGCAUGUAUGACUUCCUUCUCAUUUUUGUAUUUGCCACUGUUGAGUUAUCUGUAUAAAUGCAGCCCGAACUCACCAGCUACACCCAUCGCCAGCUCUCCAACAUUUCCCAACAUAUAAUGUCAAUGUAGACUUAGCGACCUUGUAAUUAAUCGACACCUUUAUGUUGUACUAUUUGAUGACAAACACAUAAUCUACCUUGUUCUUAAAUCAUUUCCCAACAAAUAAUUCUUUCAACUGCAAAUUUGAUGUCAAUUUGUGAGCAGUGACUAUAUCGGCAUACUCAAGGAACUCAGAUGCAUGCGUUGCAUUUGGAUCUACACUCAACAUGUCGUCCAAAGGUCAUUUCGUAAAACAAUGCCACGACUCAAGUUACUGAAAGAAGAGGCGUGAGCAUCUUCAACCUCUUUUAGGCCUUCAUCAUUGAUAUCGUUUGGAACCUCAUCAAUAUCGGUGUCACUAAAAUAUUCAACGUCCUGAUUAGAAUCUUCACCAUUAUUGGUCCUGUAAUGGCCCAAAUUCAAUUCUAUCGGAAUAGUGGUUUCGUAACCACAAAUCUGAUUUAAAGAGAAAUUUAUUUUAAUAUUUUUGCAUGAAUAUUGAUAUGAUAGGAAAAUCGUAUAAAAAUAUCGAUAGAAAAAUUUUACCGAUUUAGUGGUUAAUUAGAAAAAGAAAUUAUUGAAGAAAUUGGGUAAAAAUAAGGUACCAAGACCUCGAUCUCGUAAAAUCGAGUCAAAAACAUUUUUAUAAAUAUUUAUGAAGUGUUAGUAAUAUGGUAUUAAAAUUUCGUUAGAAAAUUUUAAUGUUUGGGUAGUCAAUUAAGUAAAAAGGACUAAAUUGAAAAAAGUGUAAAAGUUACUAGAGGGAUUAAAUAGCUCAAUUGUGAAAUGAGGAGGGACAUAAAUUGCAAAUAACCCCAAAAGAAGAUAUUUUGGGCGGCAUACGCUGAGAAAAAUUAGGAGAAUUGAAGAAAUAAGGGUAAAAUUGGAAUAUUAUAAAAUUUGCUUUAAAAGUUAGGACUAAAGUGGAAUUAUCUAGAUUUCUCUUUAUUUUUCUGCACUCUCAUCAGCCAAAAAACGUCCUAAGGGUUUCUUCAAGCUGGUUUUUCAUAAUUUUUGCACCAAGUGAGUUAAUUCCUGCCUUUUUCUUAUAAUUUUUGUGUUUCUAAGACUUUUACAACUAGGUCCUAUUACUAAAUUCAUUAGUUUUUGAUUUUAUGAAUGAAUUUGAAAGUUGAUAUGAAUAUGUUCUGGAAUUUUAUGAUGAAAUAGGAUGAAAUUGAAGCUUUAAUUUGUUUGUGAGAUGAUUUUAUUAGGUAAUUCCAAUAGAAAUUGAUUUGUAGGACCUAAUUGUGAAAAAGUUUGGAAUUAAAGUUUAGUGCUGAAAUUCUGAUUUCCAAAGGUUAUAAGGUAGUUUAAAGUGAUAUAAUAAAGUGUUUAUUGAGAAAAAUCAGCUCAAUUGAGAGGUUAAUUGAGCAGGGACGAAAUUAUCAUUGUUGAAAGUUUAAGGGAAAAAUGGUAAUUAACACCAUGCACUAAAACAGUUUUGGACAGCAGCAGUACUCUGACUUUGAAAAAUCACCAAAAAUUGUAGAGAUCGAAUUAGAGGGUGAAUAAAAUAUGAAAUUAAAGCUUAUUGAGUCUAGUUUCUUAUAAAAGAAACAGUGUAAGAAAUGGAAUUGUAAAUCAUCAGAUAUAAUAGAUUUUGUGAGACAAGGUCAGAAUGAAUUCGGGUUCCCCUGUUCUGACUUUGGAAAAUCAUUAAAAAUUGUAAAAAAAUUAUUAUGAGUUAUAAUUUAUAUGCUUAGAAUCCCUAAUGAGUCUAUUUUCUGAAGAAAUCCCUAAUGAGUCUAUUUUCUGAAGAAAUAAAGGAAAGCAUCAUCCUAAUUCUGUACAGUGAGAUAAUUAAUUUUUAGUGAAGAGGGGUCAGAACUGUCAUACAGUGAAACAGGGGAAACUUUAAGGAAUAAACUGUACUUAUUGGCUAAACCAAAAAUUCUUAAUUUUUUAUGGUAAGAAGAUAUUUGAGUCUAGUUUCAGGGAAAAUUAACGUAUCUUAAUUUGGAGUUCUGUAGCUCAAGAUAUAAAUAAUUUAGUGACUGUGACUCAGUGAGGCAGCUUUGAAUGCACUAUAAAUAAUAAUGGAAUUGUAGAGAAAGUUACAUAUGAACAUGAAAUGUAUUAGAUUAAUGAUUAAAUUUAUUUAUUUAGAUCCAGAAAAUUCAAAUACGAAGCAAGAUCGAGGAAAAGAAAAAGUUCGGGAUUAGUAGAUUUUUGUUUACGAACAAUUGUCAAGGUAAGUUCGUGUAACUUGAAUUAUAUUCAUAAAUGCUUGAAAUGUUUGUUAUUGAUGUGAAUAUGAUUUGAAUGUUCAUUGUAUGAAAAUUGAUGAAGUAUUGAUAUUCUUGAUGAAAAGAGAAAAUAAAUCCCGGUUGAAUGAAAGGAAAAUUCGAUGGAUCUCUGAAAAGGAAUUGACGGUAAAAAGGAUCUAGCCCGGACGGGUGAUCCUAUCCUGAUAUAGCCCUCCUGAAGAAUAUGUGGAAAAUGGAUUUAGCCCGGACGGGUAAUCCGAAUUAGGGUCUGAAUUUAGCCUGGACUGGUAAUUCAGAUCCAAGCUCAUUAGAGUAAUUGUCGUUGCAGGGGAUUUAGCCUGGACUGGUAAUCCCGCUGUAAGGAUGAGGUUCGCGGGAGUGUGCUCUCUAAAAUGGAAAUGUGCGCACAUGAAUAUGAAUUGACGGACCUGGAUUUGUACACUUAGGUGUAUCCCUGAAUAUCCAUCGAAAUUCCAAGUAGUUCAACGGGAUAAAUAUGGAAAAAUAACAAGGAAAUGGAAAUCCUGGAAUUGAUGAGCUCAUCAAUCAUUUAUCUUUGUAAUGAAUUUGUAUGAGGUUGAGUUUGUAUGUGAUAGGUGUAUGUUUAUGUGAAUUGGAUGUGUGCUUGUGUUAUUAAAUGAUGGAUGUAUAAGUAUGGUAAGUAUAAUUCCUGUUGCAUGAACUUACUAAGCACAAAGUGCUUACCCGGUUUCUUUUUCCCCUGUUUGUAGAGUUAAGAGCUCGGAAGUCGGAUUUGGUCAGAGACACAUCACACUAUCAAUCUCGAGAUCUCGGUACAUAAAGGAACUUUAUUUUGGAAAUCAAUGGCAUGUAUAAGCUAGUAAAUUAGAUGUUAAUGUGAAAUGAAUGUAUGGUUAGCCAUUGGUAUGGCUAACAAAUUUUGGUUUUAGUAUGUGAUGAAAUUAUCUUAUGAAUAUGAUAAAUCUAUCUUGAAAAAAAAAUUCGGUAAAAUCUGGUAAUGCCUCAUACUCUAUUUCGGCGACGAAUACGGGUAGGGGGUAUUACAGGUCCCUUUUCCGUCAUCAACCUCAAUACCUAUCACCUCCAGAUAUAAUUGUAGACAGGGACCAAGGGCAGGGUUGUUAUACAAACUCCCACCAUAAUUUUGAUUUUCAGGCAUCUACGAUGUCCCUUCGCAGUCUAACUGAUCUGCCCAUCCGAUAUUAAGAUCAAAGUCAAAUAUGCGAUGUUGACUUAUUGGACUAACAUUUUCAAUGGGCUAUAAGUCCGCUAACUCAGCAAAUAACUCAACCUGUUGGAGGUUGUAACGCCCCAAAAUUUCUAAUAAGUUAUUGUGAAAAUAUGACACAAAUAUAUGUCAGCUUUAGUAGUUAUGUUGAGUAUCUUGAUUUUAGGCCUUGAAGUGCUCGAGAGUGAUUAGGCAACAAAACGAUACCAAGUGUGUACUCGAAACACGAAAAUAAAGGAUUCGGUGAAAAGCCGGAAUUACUUGCUAUUUGGACAGCAACAGUACGCUAACUUUGAAAAAUCUCCAUAAAUUGUUGAAGUCAAAUUAGAGGAUGAAAAAAAAUAUGGAAUUAAAGCUUAUUGAGUUUAGUUUCUCAUAGAAGAAAUGGUGUAAGUAAUGGAAUUGUAAAUCGUGAGUUAUAAUAAACUUUGUGAGACAAGGUCUGAAUGAAUUCGGGUUCCCCUAUUCUGACUUUGGAAAAUUAUCAAAAAUUGGAGAAAAAUAAUUAGGGGUUAAAAUUUACAUGUUUAAAUUAUUAAUGAGUCUAGUUUCAAUAGAAAUAAAUGGAAACAUCAUCCAAAUUUUGUACUAAGAGAUAAUUAAUUUUUAGCAAAGAAGGAUCGAAGCUGUCAGACAGUAGAACAGUGGUAAGUUAGAAGAUUUUACUGUACUUUUUGGCUAAACCAAAAAUUCUGAAAAUUUUAUGGUAGAAAGUUAUUUGAGUCUAGUUUCAAAGACAUCAAGCAGUUUUUAAUUCAAAAUUCUGUAGCUCAAGAUAUAAAUAAUUUAGUAAUAGUGACUCAAGUAGACAGCUUUAAAGGAACAUAUAAGUAAAUAGUGAAAACAUAUAUGAAUAAUUAACUAGCACGGGUUACAUUAAAAAUGGAUCACGUGGCCAAGGCUAAUUUGGGUUAAAUGGGCCACAUGGGCAUGUGAGCCCAUUUUUCUGAAAAGUUCUUUACGGUUGCACGGGUUGCCUAAGUCGACUGUAGACCUACUGUAGGGUCGAUAAGCUUUACUUAGACUCCUAGAUGUGUGAUUUGUCUGUCUGAUUCCUAUAUCAAGUAUGACUUAUGAUACCUGAAUGUAUGUACUAUUAAUUGCAUAAUGGCAUGACAUAUUUUGUAUGUUGCAUUGCAUCGGGGUGGGUUGAUGUUACUUGGAGGGAGUGUCUGAAAUGUUAUUAAGCCUGUCAUCUCGCAGCUCAUCUGCAACCUUCUUAUUAUGUGCCACAUUUCGGGACAGCAUGGUGUGUAGGAAUGGGUGGGUUGAUUUAAUCCCUACAUGGUGUGUAGGGUUGGACGAAGAUGGUGUGUAGAGGCUAGUGGGUAGGAUUCUGAUUUAAUGGAUCUGCAUUAUGUAUUUGAUAUGGGCCAAGGCCCUAAUGUAUUUCUGAGUCUGUAUCUAAAUGGGCUAAAGCCCAAAUUGAUUCUGUGAUGGGCACAGGCCCCAGACUGUAUCUAACUGAAUUCUAUUGAAUAUCUGUAUACAUGUUUUCUGUGGGGAUUAUACACUGAGUUUAUAAAAACUCACCAUUUUUUGUUUAAUCUGUACAGGUAAUCCCCAAAUUUGACGGGUCAGUGCAGCGGAAGACUCGACGGUGGCCACAUGUAAAUUUUAGACUAUUUUCCGUUAAUGCCUAGAAUUUAUUACUUAUUUAGGGUUUUUGAUGUAAUUUGGACUAUGGACAGUUGGCUUUAAAUUUGGGAAUUUUUACUAUUUUUAUGGGUUUUUUUAAACUACAAUUCAACAAAACACGGUUUUUCUAAAAACUAUGGUUUUAGUAAAUACAAAUGAUUUUUCUUAAAUUAAUUGGUUACAAAAGCUUCUGCUAAGAGACAAGUUUUAAAGCAAAUCAACUAGUUUUUUUCCGAAUUAAAUAAUAGCUAACUUACUGUAAUGGUUUUUAAACUCAACAAUCUUGUCUUCAAAUCCCUUUCCAUGUGACAUCGCCAGAUUCGGCCAUAACGUCUAAGCUGGGUUUGGGGUGUUACAUUUAGUGGUAUCAGAGCCAGGUUGUAAAACUCGGCUGUGGAUUUGGAUUUUAAAACUUGGUUUUAAGGAGAUUAUUUUUAAAUAGUUUGAAAUAGUUUAGACUGAGUAUGUGGCACACCAAGUCUCCAGCGUCGAUUUUGUAAGUGUUCUAAAAACUCUGAUAAGUUUUUUGAAAAUAUGAUUAGCAUAUUCUAAAACUACUAUAGGUAGUACAUUGUACUGAAAACAUUGUAGAUAGUAUAUACUGAAAACAGUAGUGAAACUAAAAACUGUAGUAAGAUUGUAAUUUUUGAUAACAAACUCUAAACUUCUAAUACUGUUUCGCAUAAAAUAUCUACUAAUAAAUAUCGAAACUGUAACUAAUUUAUAAAACUAUUAACACAGAUAGGCUACAAAUUCUACGAUGAGUGCACGAGGCAUCCACGAAUGGGGUAUUAGAGGCCUAGGUAGAGGCCGUAGAGGGGCUCGAGCUGAGUCCUCGUUGUUAGGCAGCAUGGCGAAUCUGGAUACUAGUGUGAGCCGAUUUCACCUGCUACAGAUACUGGGUCUCCUGAUCGCAUAGCCAGGGACGACGCCAUGUCUCAGGUUAUGCUAGGGAUAUUAGAGUGGGUCACUGGACCUAACACUGGAUCUGAGAUCCGAGGGUCAGUUACAGAACGACUUCGGUCUAAUGGGGCUGAGCUAUUCAGGGGUAUCAUUAUAGUCGUCCCUAGCUUGACCGAGUACUAGAUCGAGGCCAGGGAAAGAAUCAUGGAUGAUCUAGACUUUACCCCUGAACAGAAAUUGAAAGGGGUUGUUUCUUUGCUUCGCGAUGAAGCAUACCAAUGGUGGCUAACCGUUAAGGAGGGCACUCAGCCCGAAUGACUGAUAUGGGAUUUUUAUAAGUCUACUUUCUGAGGUAAAUAUGUGGGGGCAAGCUACAUUGACACUAGAAGAUGUGAGUUUCUAAAUCUCACGCAAGGGGGUCGUUCAAUGGUUGAGUAUGAGGUCAAGUUUCUAAGAUUGAGUCGCUAUGCACGAGGAAUGGUGACGACUGAAUAUGAGCAUUGUGUCCGCUUCGAGGAUGGACUCAGGGACAUGUUGAGUGUUUUGUUAGCUCCGCAGAGGGAGCGUGAGUACUAGUAGAGAAGGCAAAGAUCGCCGAGGAGGUGAAGUGCGCUGAGCGCCAAAACCAGGAUAAGGAGAGAGGCAAGAAUAGAAGGGAUUCAGAGCCCUCGAGUUCUGCGAUGAGACCUAAGAAAAAGGUCAGAUCUGGAGGGCCAGUUACAGUUGGGGCCCCUAUUGCAUCUACUGGGAUCACGCUUUGUGGGCAUUGUGGAAGACACUAUCCGGGCGAAUGUUGGAGGACGAUUGGGGCUUGUUUAAGAUGUUAGUCUACUAAACACCGUGUCCGAGAGUGUCUGUUGAGGGCUUAUCAGGUGCAAGCUGUGAGUUCUAGUACUACACCAUUGAGGGUAGUUCAACAACCGCCUAGGGUCGUGGUCAAGCUAGGGGUGGUAAUGGUAUUGGUCGUGGGCAGAGAGCAUCGAGCAGAGGUGCUGGCCAGGCUGAGGUGAGAUAACUGUCCCUAGUUUAUGCUGCUCGCCGUCGAGAGGAUAGAGAUGCUCCAGACGUCAUCACAGGUAUGUUUCUUAUUUUUUAUGUGACUUACACUACAUUGAUAGAUAUAGGAUCUACGUAUUCCUAUGUUGCCUGUUCUGUUUCCAAAAACCUAGGGAUUCCGGUUGAGAGUACUUCUAGUGAGGUGAGGGUAAUCUGUUAGAGUUAGAAAACUGUACAAGGAUGUUCCUUUAAAGGUUCAAGGGACGGUAUUUCUGGCUAAUUUGAUGGAGCUUCCGUUUGGGGAGUUCGAUAUGAUUUUGGGGAUAGACUGGUUGGUCAAACAUCGUGUCAAUUUGGACUGUGCGACUAAAAGGGUCGUAUUGAGAACUGAUGAGGGUAAUGAAGUAGUUGUGAUUGGGGAACGUCGAAAUUACUUUGCUAAUGUGAUCUCUGCACUGGUAGCUGAAAAACUGGUUCGCAAGGGAUGUGAGGCGUAUUUGGCCUAAGUAAGCGUUUCUGUUUCUAGGGACUCUACUGUAAAGGAUAUCAAAACUAUGAGGGAUUUUCUGGAUGUCUUUUUUGAGGAGCUACCGGGUUUACCUCUGAAUCUGGAAGUGGAGUUUGGGAUUGAACUUUUCCCUGGUAUAGCUCCGGUGUCUAUCGCUCCCUAUCGAAUGGCACCAAAGGAGCUUACGGAGAUCAAGGCUCAAAUUCAGGAGUUAUUGGAUCGUGGGUUUAUCCGCCCUAGUGUGUUCCCGUGGGGAGCAUCGGUACUAUUUGUUAAGAAAAAGAAUGGAUCCAUGAGGAUGUAUAUCGACUACCGAUAACUAAAUAAGUUGACUAUUAAGAACAAGUAUCCACUUCCGAGGAUUGAUGAUUUGUUUGACCAGUUCUGAGAGGCGCUUGUGUUCUCUAAAAUUAACUUGCAUUCUGGGUAUCAUCAGUUGAGGGUUAAGGAGGCUGAUGUGCAUAAGAUGGCAUUUAAGACUCGUUAUGGUCACUAUGAGUUCCUAGUGGUGCCAUUUGGACUGACUAAUGACCGGUAACUUUAAUAGAUCUGAUGAAUCGAGUGUUUCUGCCCUACCUGGAUCGAUUUGUAGUGGUGUUCAUCGAUGACAUAUUGGUUUAUUCGAGGACUGAGGAUGAGCAUGAUGAGCACCUUAGGAUUGCUAUUCAGAUUUUGAGGGAAAAAUAGCUCUAUGCUAAGUUCAGCAAGUGCGAGUUCUGGUUACGUGAAGUAACAUUUCUGGGUUAUGUGGUGUCUGCUGAAGGGAUUCGAGUUGAUCCUCGAAAAAUUAAGGUUGUAUUGGAUUGGAAACAACCUAAGAAUGUGUUUGAGAUUUGCAGCUUUUUGGAGCUAGCAGGUUAUUAUCGACGUUUUGUGGAAGGGUUCUCCUUGAUCGCAGCAUCAUUGACUAAGCUUCUGCGUAAGGGAGUUCCAUUUGUCUAGACUGAUAUGCAAAAAGAGAGCUUCGAGAAGUUCAAGGCUGUUCUGACUCAGGCUCCUGUUCUGAUACAGCCUGAGCCCGGUAAGGACUUUGUGGUUUACAGUGAUGCUUCACAUGUCAGAUUGGGGUGUGGAUUGAUGCAGGAUGGCAAGGUGAUAGUAUAUGCAUUUCGUCAGCUCAAAACUUAUGAAGCGAGCUAUUCGAUGCACGAUUUGGAGUUGGCCGCCAUUGUCUUUGCAUUGAAAAUCUGGAGGCAUUAUCUGUACGGUGAGAAGUGUAUUAUCUACACUGAUCAUAAAAGCCUCAAGUAUCUCCUCACUCAGAAGGAUUUAAAUCUUAGGCAGCGUAGAUGGGUUGAGCUACUUAAGGAUUAUGAUUGUACCAUUGAGUAUCAUCCCGUCUAGGCCAAUAUGGUGGCUGAUGCGUUGAGCCGUAGAGCUAUGACCGAUCUGAGAGCGAUGUUCACUCGACUUAGCCUAUUCAAUGAUGGAAGUCUGUUGGCAGAACUUUAGGUCAAACCGACAUGGAUUGAACAUAUUCGAGGUAAACAGUUGGGGGAUAAGUCUCUUAGGUUACGUUUUCAUCAGGUUGAGAAUGGUGGCACUACUAAUUUUGGGAUAAACAGUGAUGGGGUACAUUAUUUCCUCGAUCGAAUUCGUGUACGAAAUUAUGAGUAUUUAAGGCAGUCGAUUCUGAGAAAAGCGCAUGGUAGUCCCAAUACUAUGUAUCCCGACAGAAACAAGAUGUACCGAGAUCUUCAAGAAUUGUACUGGUGGCCAAGGUUGAAGCAUGAGGUUACUGACUUCGUUGCUCGUUGUUUGACUUGUCAGCAGGUUAAGGCUAAGCAUCAAUUACUUUCGGGUUUGCUGCAGUUGGUUAAGAUACCAUUAUUGAAAUGGGAGCGAGUAACGAUAGACUUCGUUAGUGGGUUGCCUCUAACACCCACAAAGAAGGAUUUUGUCUGGGCCAUCGUGGAUCGAUUGACCAAGCCUGCUCACUUCAUCCUAGUAAGGAUAGACUUUUCUCUUCAGAAAUUAGCUAAACUCUACAUAUCAAAAAUAGUGAGGCUGCAUGGGGUACCUAUCUCGAUCAUUUCCGAUAGGGAUUCUCAUUUCACGUCUCGGUUCUAGAAGAAGCUUCAUGAGGCUCUGGGUUUAAGAUUAGACUUCAGUACUGCUUUCCAUCCUCAGACAGAUAGUCAAUCGGAGUGGGUGAUUCAGAUACGGGAAGACAUGUUGAGGAGCUGUGUUAUUGAUUUUCGAGGCAGUUGGGAAGAGUACUUAUCGUUAGCGGAGUUUGCCUACAAUAAUAGCUUCCAGUCUGACAUCCAGAUGGCACCUUACUAGGCACUGUACGAUCGUAAGUAUCGCACUCCUUUAUGUUGGACUGAGUUGGGUGAGCGACAUGUUUUGGGUCCUAAAUUGGUGUCCGAGACUAAAGAUAAGGUUAGACUGAUUCGAGAUCAUCUAAUAGCGGCUUCUGACAAGCAGAAGUCCUAUGCAGAUCAGAAGAGUAAGAAUAUCGAGUUUACAGUGAGGGACUUAGUUUUUCUCAAGGUCUCGCCAUGAAAAAAGGUUCUAAGGUUCGGUCGCAAGGACAAGCUGAUCCCCCGGUUUAUUGGACCUUACCACAAUCUGAAAUGUGUGGGACCUGUCACUUAUCAGUUGGAGUUACCUUCGGAGUUGGACAAUAUUUAUGAUGUUUUUCACGUCUCGAUAUUGAUGCGCUACUGCUCUGAUCCCACGCAUGUUGUUUCUGUUGAGGAGAUUGAGGUUAGGCCAGACUUGACCUUCGAAGAGGAGCCAGUUCAGAUUCUGGAGCGUGAUGUAAAGGUCCUUUGGAAAAAGUCUCUUCCCUUAGUGAAAGUUCUGUAGCAUAAUCAUAGCACUGAGGAGACUACGUGAGAGCCUGAGGAUGCGAUACGUCAGCAAUAUCCUCAUAUGUUCUUAUCAGGUAAAAUUUAGAGGACGGAAUUUUCUUUUAGGGGGUAGAGUUGUAACGCCCCAAAAUUUUUAAUUUCAUUAUUGUGAAAAUAUGAGAAAAAAAUCUGUCAGCUUUAGUGGUUAUAUGUUCUAGGAGUGUUUGGAUGGUCCCAAGUUCAAGCCUUCGCUUGGGCAAAUUUUGGUAUUUUGAAUGAAUUAGGCCUUACUCUUGUUCAGUAGGUUUUUAUUUGAUUGUUGGGUAAAUUACAUCAGAAUGGGCUUGCUGGUUUGGUGGUUAAAUGGUGUGUUAUUAUGGUAGAGGUCUUGUGUUCGAAUCCCUAUGCAGGCAAGGGUAUUAUUUUUGCUCAGAUUUUGGGAUAGAGUUGUAUAAUAGGGGGAUUCUGAGUAGUGGAUAUGUAGUGGGAAUUAGGGGAGAAGAUUAAGGGAUUUUGAGGGUUAUCGAGAUUUUAUUUUAUUUUAUUUCCCCAUAACCGAAUUUUGACUCUCUUUUUCAAAAAAAAUUAUGCCGUCUAUUCUUCUCCCUCUCCUCUUGCCUAAAUUCUCUAAGUUUUUCCAUCUUUCUCUUCUUUUUCUUCUUCUUGAUUUUUCCCUAAUCCAUUUAUUUUCUUUCGUUUUCGUACGUGGUUAGUGCUCGCUUAGUUUCAGUAAGUGUUUCUCUUUGUUUCUGUCAUGAAUCUUUUAAUGACUGAAGUGGUAAUGUUUUUCUCUACGAUUUGAGCGUAGGGGGAGGCUCGAAUUGGUGAAUUCAGUGUUCUCGUCUUAACAAUAGUUAAACGGAGUGUUAUCAUUGGUGGUAAGUUGGGUUUCUGUUCGUUCUUGGCUGUCAAUUCGCUUGUAAAUCCAUUAAAUUGAUGUUGAGUAUCUUGAUUUUAGGCCUUGAAGUGCUCAGGAGUGAUUAGGUAUCAAAAUGAUACCAGGUGUGUACCCGAAACGCAAAAAUAAGAGAUUCAACAAAAAACCAAAAUUGCUUGCUAUUUGGACAGUAACAGUAGGCUAACUUUGAAAAAUAUCCAUAAAUUGUGGAAAUCGAAUUAUAGGAUGGAAAAAAUAUGAAAUUAAAUCUUAUUGAGUCUAGUUUCUUGUAGAAGAAACGGUGUAAGUAAUGGAAUUGUAAAUCGUGAGUUAUAAUAAACUUUGUGAGACAAGGUCAGAAUGAAUUCGGGUUUCCUUGUUCUGACUUUGGAAAAUUAUCAAAAAUUGGAGAAAAAUAAUUAGGGGUUAAAAUUUACAUGUUUAAAUUAUUAAUGAGUCUAUUUUCAAUAAAAACAAAUGGAAACAUCAUUCAAAUUUUGUACUAAGAGAUAAUUAAUUUUUAGCAAAGAAGGGUCGAAGCUGUCAGACAGCAGAAUAGGGGUAAGUUCGAAGAUUUUACUGUACUUUUUGGCUGAACCAAAAAUUUUAAAAAUUUUAUGGCAGAAAGUUAUUUGAGUCUAUUUAAUUCAAAAUUCUGUAGCUCAAGAUAUAAAUAAUUUAGUAACAGUUAUUGAAGUAAACAGCUUUGAAGGAACAUAUAAGUAAAUAGUGAAAACAUAUAUGAAUAAUUAACUAGCAUGGGUUACAUUAAAAAUGGAUCACGUGGCCAAGGCCAAUCUGGGCCGAGUGGGCCACAUGGACAUGUGAGCCCAUUUUUUUGAGAAGUUCACAAAAAUGGUGGUGCCAAACUGUAUCGCUCCACCAAAAAAGGAUUAUUUUUCUAAAUACCCCAAUUUUUCAGAAAUAGUAAUAUUUCUCUAAUAUUUAUACAGGUGGCGUUAUUCUACAUGACUCCACCAAAAAAAUGAAUAUUUUUUAUUUAGUUUGCUGAUAUGGCAUGUUGUUGGUGCCAAACUCUCCAAACUUAUUUUGGGCCUAAUAUUAUUAUCUAAACAUGCCAAAUUUCUCGGUGAACAUUCAAGUUUGAAUGAAUAAUCCAAUCCUUAAACAAAUCUACUAUUCAUAACUUCUAAUCCUUAAACAAAUUUACAUUCAAACCCAAAAAAUCUAAAUUAUUACGAUAACUAAGGUUCCAACGAGUUUUGUCGAUAUCCUUAAUCCAGUUUAUAUAAUUAAAAAGAUAUAAUGAUUUUUUUGGCUCUCCAACUUUCUAAAAAAGUAAUUUUGACCCUCUAUUUAUAUUUUGUCUUUUAGUCCUUAAACUUGUAAUUUUUUAUCAAAUCACCCCAAAAUGGGUGGAAAAGUUAAUGUUUGGUACCUUUGCUAAUGUGACAUACACGUGGAUAACAUGCCAAUAUUUAAUUAUUUUUUUAAAAUUAAAAACAUAAAAAAUUACAUUUUUAUAUUUUUAACCAUUUAAUUUUAGAAAUAAUUUUUAAAAUUUUAAAAAAUUAAUUUAAUGCUGACAUGUCAUUCACGUGGCAAUCCACGUGUAUGCUACGUUAGCAAAGUUACAAAUGUUACUUUUUCAAUCUAUUUUGAGGUGACUUGAUAAAAAAAUACAAAUUUAGAGGUUAGAAUAAGGGCAUAGCUAGGGGCUGGCAGGGGCCUUAACCCUCUAAAAUGAAAAAUUUUCUACUUAGACUCUUUAAAAUCUUAAAAUUUAUAUUUAAAUUAAUAAAGGUAAAAUUAUCCUUUGGUCCGCUUAAAAAUGAUAAAAUUUUAAUUUAAUCCUUUAAAAAUUAUAAAGAUAUAAACUAUUAAAAUGAUAAAAUUAUAUUUUUAUUAUCGUAAAAAUUAUAAUUUAAUUUUGCCCCAAUAAAAAUUUUCUAGCUUCGUCUCAUAUUAGAAAGGGUGAAAAGUUAAAUAAAAGGAUAAAAAGGAUAAAAUGACUUUUUUUUUUUGGUAAUGUUAAAGGAUGAUUAUGUGAAUUAAAAAAAUAUUACACCGAUGUAAAAAUUUAAUUCUCAAAUAUUCUAAAUUUUAAUUACUAUCUUAUCUAUGAUGUUUCCUACAAAGUUCAAAAUUAUGGGGUAUGGGUCGAUUUAAUUACAAUCUUAUCUAUGAUGUUUCAUACAAAGUUCAAAAUUAUAGGGUAUGGGUCGAUUUCACGUCACAAAUCUUAAGCAAAAAGUUGGCAGCAGUCCCCAUAAUGUAUCCAAGAUUCAAGGGUGAUCCACACAAUAAUCAAAAGUGAAUCAGAGCCACCAAUUCCCAAUCAUAUGAAAUCAGGCCAGACCCUAAAUUCGAUUUCUACCAUUGAUUUAUACUGAAUCACCCGAUAUUACGGACCCUAUGUGUCUUAAACCAACAGAAGGUGGCAUUAUCUGCCGUCCUACCGCCCCUUAAAACCAUCCACCUGUCCCCCUGCCUGCCCCUUGCGUGGACAUCUAAGUAGCCUUACAAACAAAACACUAAAUCCUCUUAUCCUAUGUCUUAAGCCGAAAGGAUCGGACGCGUGAAUGUUCCCUUCUAAACAUGUGCCUCUAUCUCAUUCAGUAUCCUAUUUUUUAGUCCCUCACUCUAAAAACACGCGUUCACAACACCUAUUUAAUCUAACCGUCCAUUCUCACGUGAGUCCAGCAAUCGUAGGUGUUGCCUCCUGGAUCGCCCCUCCUCUCGCCAUGUAACGAAAAGGACACAUGUCGAGAAGCUAAUAAAUUACAAAAUUUCAACAUAAACCAUGAAAUAUUUUGUUCUAAGUUUCUAAAAACUCAAAAAUUAGAAGGAAAAGACUUAAAUUAACUUACCAAAUGAGCUUGGAACCUCAAAACCUAAAUUUUCCCUUUUUCUUUCUUUCUUUCCUUCUUUCCUUUUCUGUUUCGUUUGCCUAUUCUGUUUCUAUUUCUCUUUUUCUAUCUUUUAUUUCUUUUAUUUAAUUAGUUUAAUAUAAUAACAAUAAAAUAAUAAUAUAAUAUUAUUUACUUAAAUAAUAAGUAAAUAUUUAAUAAUUACUAAUAAAUGUAUUUCAUUUUUCCACAUGUCAUCAUAUGUAUCAUACAUUUGUCAACUUUUUUCUUUAUUUAAAAUAAAAUAAAAUAAUAUAAUAUAUAAAUAUCUUUUACUUAAUUAAUAAGUAUGUAUAUAUAUUAAUUACAAAUGUAUACAUAUAUUUAUUACACAUGUAUUUAUAAUUAUCACACACUUGUCACUUUUUAUGGUUUAAAUAUUAGUUUAGUCCUUUCAUCUUUCUCUAUUCUAUAAUUAACUUUCACACUUAAUUCAAUUUUAGUCCUAAUACUCAAUUAACUUUAAUUCAACUAAAUUCACUUAACUAAAAUUCGAUUGAUCAUGUAACUAACUCUAUAAAUAUUUUAAAUAAUUAUUUACGAGUCUAUUCUACUAAAAUAGAGACUAGAUAAUUCACUUUUCAAUGCCUACAUUUUUUAAGUCAUUAUAUGGAUGUCCCCUUCUCUUGCCACAUAGCGAAAAUGACACGUGUCGAGAAACUAACGGGUUUUUAGAAUUAAUCCUUUUAAAUUUCGUUUCUAUAAAUACUUCAUCUCACAACGCGUUCAACCCUCAGCACACAUUCAAAGCCGGAAACAUCCCCAACUGAAUAAAUUUACGCAAAACAAAAAGGAAAGAAAAGGGUGUAAGAUUCAUUUCCUUUUUUCUUCUCAUCUCUGACAGGUAAUCGGAAAAGGCAAACAGUUCGAAUAAAUAGAAAAUGGCGUUGAAUUUGGCGCAUCAGAUUGGUUCUCUAGCCGGGACACAAAUUGCAGCUGAAGUCACCACCGGAGAACAAUCAUCCUCAGCGACGGCUGAUGUGUCGGGAUUUCGGAAAGUUCCAUUGGCAAAUCUCCGAUGCAACGCCCCAGGAGAAGCUCUGUCCCCUCCAAUGUUAACUCCACCGUUGACGCCGCGAAGCGCGGCAAACAGGUCGGCUAUGAUGAGUCUGUCGCUGCGUCCGGAUCUGUCCGCCGUUUGCCAGGCUUUCGGGACGUUAUCACCGCUGGAGACGGCUGAGGAGUCAUCGGCGUCGGUGGCGUGGAAGGAGGGAGGGAAGAAAGAGGAGAAGAAAGGGGUUCCGGUUUACGUGAUGAUGCCGUUGGAUAGCGUGACGAACGGGAAUACGGUGAAUAGAAAGAAGGCGAUGAAUGCGAGUCUCCACGCGCUGAAAAGCGCGGGAGUGGAGGGGAUAAUGAUUGACGUUUGGUGGGGUCUGGUGGAGAGGGAAGCGCCGGGUGCUUACAAUUGGGGUGGCUACGCGGAGCUUCUCGAGAUGGCUAAGAAGCAUGGCCUUAAAGUCCAGGCUGUCAUGUCAUUCCAUCAGUGUGGGGGCAACGUCGGUGACUCUUGCACGUUCGUAUCUCCUCCUUACCUCUCUUUACUGUUUAACUUUUAAAAUUUAAACCCUUCUUUUUCUUCAAGAUCCCGUUACUCAGCUUAUGUAAAUUUUAUUUAAAAAAAUAGUAAUUUUAAAUUAAUUUUUGUGGGGAUGGGAUCCCUUUUUGAAAAUCAAGAAGAAAGAAAGUUUACACGUUUGAUUAAUUAUUGAUUACAAGUCAAUCAUUUGCUUAUUUUUGAAUUUGAAAGAGACGAUCAGAUGAACCAACGUUUUUAAAAAAAAAAUUUAGAUGAAGGGAUAACGUAAGCUUUCAUUGCAUCUUUUUACAAAAGUUGGGUAAAAAGGGGACCGAAAGAAAUUAAAUUUGAAGAUAGAUAUNNNNNNNNNNNNNNNNNNNNNNNNNNNNNNNNNNNNNNNNNNNNNNNNNNNNNNNNNNNNNNNNNNNNNNNNNNNNNNNNNNNNNNNNNNNNNNNNNNNNGAACCUAUUUUAGAAGUUCAUGAAUCAGAACAAUUUUUUUUGACGGAGGGUACGGUGGUAGCUUUCAUUUCUCUCCAUCUCUCCAGGCAGGGAAUAUGGGGUUUGUAUGGAAAUUUUCAUAAGCCCCCAUACGGUGGUCCAAAUCCUGUAUUUUUUAUCUAAAUCUUUAUUGAAUCAAAUACUGGGAUGUAUUGAUUUGAUGUUAUGGAGCUACUCUUUUAAAAAGAAAAAUAUGGUUGUUUUUGUACAGUAUUCCUUUGCCCAAGUGGGUUACAGGGGAGAUCGAGAAGGACCCAGACCUCGCAUACACUGAUCAAUGGGGA
rnacentral:lncRNA from 1 species